UAGCCGUCCGUCCGUACGUGCUCUGCUUCCUCUUCUUCUUCGUCAUCUUCCUCUGCUCCGUCGGCGGCGGCGAGGUAGGUUUCUUGCGGGUGGCGCGCGCGCGUGCGCGUAGCCAAGAAGAUCAUCAAGGCUGAAGGCCAAGGGGGUGGUACAUGGUGGUAAUAAGUGUUAGCGUCGAGGGGUAUAGGUGUAAAAAGGAAAAGAGAAUUUAGUGUUGGUUACUCCUACUAAAUUGUGUUUUGCUCGUUUUUAAUUGUUGGUAAGGUAUUUAUUCCACGUUUAAUUGUCGAUAUAUAUAAACCUGUUGUUACGACGGAAUUAAAGUGAAAUGGUUAAUGCUGGGGUUACAAGUAGUACUAGUAGUGGUUUUGUUUUUGUUGCAGUUUGAGUUGAGAGAGCUUUUUGUUGUGGUUCAGCGACAAUGUCAGAGAUUUUGUUGGAAGGGUGCUAGCUUAGCUAGGUUGGUAGCAACAACCAGAUAGUAUCGUUGCGUUGAUGAUGAUGAGCUUUAUGGUAGGUUGCAAGUCCAACUCAUGCCCUGGGAUUUGGUGAAUGAGUAGGUACGGAUUGGACUUAGGAGUUCAGGAUCAUCUCCUCUCUCUCUCUCUCUUCUCUCUCUCUCAUCAACCUUGCUGGCAGCUCCAUCUAUGGAAGCACCUUACAUAUUUAUUUUUUGAGUUUCCAGCUGUUGGCUUCUAUAGCAAGUGACAGAGUAAUGGUGAUGUGUAAGACUGACUGGUGAGGAGUGGCCAUUGAGUGAAAAAAUAUAUAUUCUGUAGGCACGGAAUUGAGGUCGCCAAAAAAUAUCCCCUGGUACUUCCAUGGUUGAACCAAUUAGCUCUCUCGCAAAAAAAAAAAUAGCUCAGGUGCACAAGGUCUCCAUGACGAGCGGUGACGAUUGCAUGAUAUCUGCGGCCUGUGUGGCCCAGAUUGCGUUAUAAAGGAUUUAUCACUCGCUUUCUUUCUUUUCAAAACUAAGGAAAAUGGUUCCCUCAAAAAAAAACUAAGGAAAACGGUGAAAAAAAGGAGAUGGGGAAAUGUGCUUUGAGGUCGUAGACAGCAAUGAUUCACGUUCUGGUGUUGAGAUGCGACGCAGCACGAUGCAUACACAUAAUCAUGUUAAUGCAUUAUUAGCACUUGAUGUGGUGUCCUCCUGCACGAAUUACUGCGCUCUGCGUAAUGCAUUUCCAAACUAGAAUAAUCAACUAUAUUCCUCUGGAACGAAUCAACGACCUAUGUCUAUGUGGUAGUCGCACAAACCGGUGGCAGGUCUGCGUCCUAGCUAAAAAAUAGGAGUCUCCCGGUGGUGUUGCUUAAGGGAGAGGGUGUGUAAAAGGAGGUGGAGGAUUAGGCCGGCGGUGAGCAAGCGUUUGGCUACGUCGCCUUCCUCCUUUUUCCAUCGCGGCGGUUUCCGAGUCGACGGACGUCUCCAUUCUUUCUAGCUGCAACGUCUUAUCGCUCGCUUCCUUUAAUGCUCCCAAGAAUGAAAGAUAACACGACGACCGCAUGGACAGCAGUGCACGUUCUCCUGUGAUCUUGAUGAUCCGCCAGCUCUUUCCAUGGACGAGCUGCGUUUCUGGCAUGCAUCCGUCGUCACCGACAACUGAUUGCAGCGAUGACACACAGUUGCGAGUUCGCAGCAGCAAUAAUUGGCGCCAGCGGAACGCACGACGAGCAGCGUGUCUGCCCACGCAACAUGGAUGCAUACAAUUGCACAUGCUGCCUAGCAGCACCAAACAACGGAGCAUCCAACCUGCACAACACACUAUUGUAUGACUAAUGUUACUCAGGUCUGCAUAAUUCUCGCAUCACGGACCAGCCGCCCAACGUUUCCACAAUAAAAACACAUGAACAUGUACGCGCAGUGUAUGGGAAACCAUAUUCUCGAAUCACGGUUCAGAUGUCCCAAAAUGGCCAGCAAGGACCGAGAUAGCAGCUCCUGCAACACAGAAAAAACAAUAGGUUUUCACCCUGGUUGUUGCAUUUAGCCCCCAAUGCCACUCUGCCGAUCAUUCUACCCAGGGUGGUUAUGAAUACUUCCUUUUAUGGCCUCAACCUCUUAAGGUCCCUCUCGCUGCUGUGAUCAUGGCUCCUGUGCUCCUUCCGCUUUGGACUGCCGGGCUCGAGAGAAUGGCACAGCCCACCCUCCUCGGUGUCCUCUACCGUGUGAGCGACGUUCUGAUGAUCCUUGUUUAUCUUUUCCACUGCAUCCACCGCUGAUGGCGACGUAUUGAGGCCUUCAUUGCUAGUGGCAGUGCCAUCCCUCGCUUCGGAUUGUGCUAUCCUCUGGUUUGAGCCUUGCCUUUCAGGGUCAUGCUGGUUAUGUCCAUGGCAGUCUGGCAAGCUCGGUUGUCUGGAUGCUGAAUGAUUUUUAUGCGCAGGAGGCUCCUCAGCAGCUCCAGGAGCUUUCUCCAGGGCAUGUUGAUUGGCUAAACCUGCAGAGCUGCUUUUACUAUCAUUCCCUUGAGACGGUGGUGGCCCAUAGAGCUCCAUCAUUUGGUUGCUAACCUCUGAAAAGAAUAAUUGCAAUUAAUGUAAGCAUGGGUCCUUAGUGUGUCUUUUAUACUUUGCAAGAAAGAGCAUCAAAUGUGAACGUAGCAGCAAAAAGAGCAUCAGUUCUUGGUACGAAAUGGACAAUACUGCUUAGCAGCAUUGCAAAAUCAACAAAACAGAUGUAACACCCCCCACGUUACAUGUAAUUUUCUCUAUCUCUUUGCUAAUUUUCUGUAUAUAAGACAAGGUCUAUCAAAAUAGUUUAACUCAAAAGUCAACGCCAACCCAAAUAUUUCCAGUUCCACACCAGAGGCUAUCCAGCACAGAUUCAUUAGAGUACUCCUGUGCAUGACAUUGCCUAGUGUACGGUGUACCCCAGAACACUAGUGCUCAAAAUUUUCCCUUGUGCACAUCACAAAAUAACUUGUGCCUUUGACCUAAGCAACCUAAUUCCACUACCAGUUUUUCAUAUAUGAUAAAUUUAGGUUCUCCAAUUCUCAGGGGUUCCAUUGACAACUAAAGCAUGAUAACAUCUGCUGCUACUUGUGAGGAUGAGAAAUACUGUCCUUACGACAAUGAAUACUGCAAUAGUGCAAACAUGCACAACUGACCAUAUGUAGAGACCAACCUUCCAACUGCCAUGGGGUUACAUCAAAAUCUUGCCACCAGACCUUCUCGCCAUCUGCUGGAAGCUUGACUUUAAGGAACUUCGCAGCAAGGAAGAUUGCACCAGCCGCAAUAUGUUGGGGCUUAAAUUGCAGGCAAAGAGAUGUACACAGGCUGUACACCCCUUUCAAGGCGUAGUAAAUAGGCAUAACAGGGGAUUAGUAAUUUUUAAAGAAUAUAAGAGUAGUCUUAGCAUACCCAUCAUUGACAAAACUCCAGGCAACUUGAGCAAGUUCCUUUUGAGCAAUCUUGAGUUUUUUUAUUGCUUCAACCAAGGGCUUGUAUGGGUGAUGCACAUUGAAGUCAAAAUCAAGUGUUACAAGCACAGCACGCUCCCCAAUUAAAAUAAGUUUCUUCUGUUGUUCAUAGACUUCCUGCACAAAACAACACAAAUAGUCUCAACUACUCCCUCCGUUCCAAAAUAGAUGACCCAAUUUUAUACUAACUUUGUAUUAAAGUUAGUAUAAAGUUGAAUCAUCUAUUUUGGAACGGAGGGAGUACCAUUUCUGUCACAGUAGUUAGGGAAUAAAAUGCAUCGACUGUAAACAAAAACUUGCAGCUUUAUGAAUAAUAGAAGUGUGGGGAAACAAGGAUACCAUUGGCAACUAGGAAAAGGAAUAUCAAGACAGUGUCAACAACAAAACAUCUAACCUUUUGCUUAAUUCGAGCAACAGCGCCAGGAUCCUUUUUGUGGAUGAUCUCAUAAGAAAUUAGUAUGACAUCCUUCAGGGGUAUGGGUGUUUCUUCAACUUUACCCGCCAAGAACAUGCAAACUGUGGCUACUGUCUGCAGGUUGUAAUGAAAUUUCAUUGAUAACUUGCAAUGAGCAGUUGAUUUUGAAAAAAACGCUAACUCCAAAUAACAAAUUGUAUGCCACAUGUCUAUGCUGUACACUACACACACACAAAAAAAUGCAUGUCCCUUCUGCAGAACUGAACAAGAUUAACCAUAUCAUGGAAUCCAAUAAAAUAUUGCGUUUACAAGUGACAGCAAACUAGAAAUUAGAAUACUGCCUAAAAGUGACAGCAAACUAAAAAAGUGUGUGUUUCACUUUCACAUAUGGGUGGCAGCAUUCAUGAUUGAACACAUAUUAGAAAAGUAUAAUACUGCCUACCAUGCAUAUAAUGUGCAUGCUGUCUGACAACAAACAUGUACAAGCCCAUACAAAUUUAAGUAGGGCUUACCAGUCUAUCAUUUUUGGCAUGAGAUUGUCGAAGGAAAAAACGAUGACAGAAUACAAUAGCUGUAGCAAUUGUCACUGGAGGCCUACAUUUCAAAGCCAUCCGUCAUAAGAAGGAAAGAUGCACUAUAUAGAACUACUAACAUGCAAACAAAGCAUAAUUGAUGCAGUACUAUACAUGGACUUAUUCAUAAAAUUUCAUGGUGCAAGUAUUCUAAAGGGUAAAGACACAUAAAGGCCUAAACAAAAAUACUAAACAGUGUUUGAUCUCUUCUGUUGUCGCUAAACAAGGAUGUCAUGUGAUCACCCAUCGCUGCAUGCUCGACAAGAACGGUGGCAUUAAAGUAAUCAAUCAAUGAGUCUAACACUGGGGUCAAGGGCCAAUGUGCUAAGAAGUUAUUCCUGACAAAGCCGUGUGCUUCUGAAAAAAGGGAAAAACUGAACAGUAGUUAUGUGGUCACAUGCAUAUGUUAGCAAUUUGUCAAACACAAAUAUCAGAUAGAUUUACCAUCAUAUCUGAGCAAUUAGUUCAAAACCAUCUCUGGAUAUUGUCAAAGAAAAUAAAGCUAACAAACAAAGUUCAAGGUUAUAUGGAGUGGGCUGAAAAUCAAUGUACACAUUAGACCAAAUGCUUAGGAAGAAGAAAAAUUGGACAAGUCAAUAAUCAAAUAAUUAUUAAAUGUCUAAUAUACGCAGAUAUUGCAUGAUUAAACACUUAUUCAAUAUAAUCAAUUAAAACUCCAGGAAAAAAUGGACAAGUCAAUUCUUGAUGGGACAAUGCUUAAAUUGCCACAUGACCAGCCCAAGCACAUGCUUGGCAACCUAUCACAAUAAGGAUAUUCUAUGUUUCUUUCAAACCUAUACAUAUGUCCCCUCGAUCAGCAGAGGUGACGUUUCUAAUCUUCUGAAUCAAUUUGCAUCCCUAAUAUCUUUUUAACAAAAAGUUGUGUACAGUGCUUGUUCCAGAUAUUCCUGCCAUUAAAUAAUUUCACUAAAGGCAUGUUUGAUUCACAGCUUAAGACUGUAUAAGAUGUCAGGCAUUUUUGCCUAACUCAGCUGGUACAGAAAAAUGGAACCACGGUCCACAACUUAGCUUGUCUACAUAAUUCAUGCUACAAGUGCAUGUGUCUAUGGCGCUUGGAACCCAGCUAAAAAAUGUUUGGUGUGCAGAAAACGUGGCUUUGAACCAAACACUUGCUUAACUUGGUCAAACUAGCCUUGAGGGAGUGUGGCAAACCAUGGCAGAGCUUGGCUCCCAACUAAGGAGACCCCGGAUAUUCUGUCGGCUAGAGGUGCAACCUAGGAUACAAAAUGUAGUCAUGUACACUAGAGAACAACCACUGUCAACAACAGAAUGUAAUCACUUAUGUUUUAGAUGUGCACUAGACUUUCCUUGGAUUUGGAAAUAAAAUGUGCAUGAUAUCGAUCAUGAUUUUUUUGCAAAUAUUGUUGACGAUGAAACAAGAAAGAAAUAAAAUUUUGUUAAAAAAACUAAGUUAUAAUAAAAAGUCAAGUUGACUACAGAAACUUGAAAAGAACAGGUACGAUUCAAAUAAUACUGCUAAACUAGCUUGCUAUACUUUACAAGAAAACAAGUAACAAUAAAAUAUGCAUGGUACUAUAUAUUCUUACACUUGAAGCCUCACUCCCAGAUCUUGAAGAAAAGUGCAGUAUGACUUGCGAAGGAAAGACUCCUUCUUCAGACUAAUGCCAUCUCUUCUUGAAAGGGAAUUCUCCUCUAUUUCUUUUCUACUAAAAUACCACGAAGCACCAAGGUUGCCAUCUUCCACACGUUUAUUAUAGGGAAAUCUAUAUGGGCUGUUUUCUACAACUCCAUAUUGUGAAGAAUCACUUGUCUGCAUGAUAUCCAUGUAUGAUUUUUCCUCUUUUCUUCUAAAGAACCUGACAAAAUGAGAUAUAUUAUGUCAUCGCUUGCAAACUUAACAUCAUAAGCAUACAUAAACACAGUGACGGAGCCAAGGGCCAAGGGGAAGCCAUCCCCCCACCCCUAAGAUUCUUCUUUUCAUAUACUCUUCAAAUCUAAGUGCAAAACAACAAACAAUUUCUACUUGGCCCCCUCUAAGCUUUAGUAACUUUUAUUUGCCCCCCUACUCAUUCCUGCCUCCGUCCCUGCAUAAACAGGAGGAAGGUACGUACAACUAGGCAUGUACAUAUACACAUUAAUUUGAAAAAAAAAUAACAUUGAUGAAGUCGUGAAGCGCUAAGACAGAUAUCAAACUAUAUGUUCUCAAUACCCUAAAUCUAAAAAAAUCUUCAGUGGAACAUAAAAAGGGCAUAUUCAUACAGCUUCAUUGAACAGUCUGUCCUUCACAGAAGCCCAGUAAUUGAACAAAUUUGUGACACGUGGAUGACAAAACAACAAACAAAAGAGUUUCUUCAAUACAACAUCAAUGCAUUUCCUCCAUUUACAAGGAUGGCGACAUUAAUGAAAUUGUAAAAUUGUUGCAUGCGAGUAAUGACCACUGUGCAAGUUGCUACUCCCUCCGUCCGAAAAUACUUGUCAUCAAAAUGGACAAAAGAAAUGUAUCUAGAACUAAAAAACAUCUAGAUACAUCCUCUUUUAUUCAUUUUGAUGACAAGUAUUUCCGGACGGAGGGAGUAUUUGUUCUUUCAAGUUUAUUUUCCCGAGUCCAUGGCGUUCAAGGUGUUUUCCUGAGUCUGGGAGCAUAACACAGAAACAGGGUACUCCAAACUUAACUAGACCAGAGCUUUAGCAAAGCUAGCAGAAUGAAUGGGGAGAGAUCACCAAACAUGAUAUGUUCUUGAAGGCAGCUGUUUGACCUAAAGCAAGCGACUAUAUUCGACCGGCAAGAAACUAAACCCAAUACACAUGAGAUACACAAUCCUCAAACACAUCUUAAGUGGGACUGUCGAAAAAAAAACAUAACCCAAAUUACAAGCGAGCAACAUAAAAUAGUUGAGUGUACAAAUCUCAAACCACCACAAAAAUCCAAAUUAUCUCAGAUAAAGCCCACUUGAGUAUGUAACCCUGGAACCCUAGAUGAAAUUGUAGGGGACUUCAGUUUACAGGUAGGUAUGUGUAUUAUGAAGGUGUUAUCCUGGCUAUACAUAUCACUUAGACAAAAUUACUGAAAGUCAAAACUCACUACAAGAGCAAAAAGUAGCCUCGUAGUUGGUGUUGAGGCUCAUAAGUUUGACCGACAGUAACACAAAACCCCACUGCACCCCAACGCCUCGAGUAACGCAGUUCUCCAAGCUAAGCUGCGUAAUUUUCAACCAAAGGCAGGAAUCCUCUAAAACUCAGUAUUAGCAUUGGCCCCCGUAAAUUCCUCACGAAAUUUAGCUACAUCCAGUCCCCCAGGCACCUAAAAACAUGAAUUUACCGGGAAACUUAGCACGCAGUUGCGAGAUCAAGCCCGUUCAGAUCCAAGCAAGUAAGUUCAGCUCAACAACUACGCAUCAAACAGGACCUAGGGUUACUCCCGCCCGGCAACAAUCGCGCAUUACAAUCCCGAGGUGAGCUUCCAAGCAACGGAUCCCUCAAUUGGCAGGCAGAAUCAUGCGAACCGAGGGAACUACAGAAGCAAUUUGAGACAAUUCUUCUUAUGGAUAUAAACAGAUUGGAUCAGAGCAGAACCUGAGAGGUCGAGAAGUAGUUUGGCGCAGGGUGCGGACCGACCGGCGAGCGUGCGGGGCGGAGACGGACCGUGGUAGACGUCGCGCGCGGAGAGCUGCAGCUGGCGACGACGGCUGCGGCGGCGGAUGGCGCCGCGGCAGCGAGGGGGAGCCUGCAGCCCUACCUGCGACUGCGAGGCUGGGUCGGACCCCGGCAGAACCCUGGCCGGUUGAUGUGUCACCGUGCGCCCGGAUCCACCUUUUUACCCGCGACUCUACCGGGGUUCUACUAGGGUUCGUACUCGUUGCAACCUGAACUUUGAUUCGCUGGCCAACACGGACAUCUCAUGAUUAUUCUCCUCUUUUUUUUUUUGAGGGAUCCUCUCUUUUUUCUUUUAGGAUAUAUUAUUCUCUAGAUUGUCUUUUCUUUCCUCGAGUGUACGCCAAAGGCAUACCUUACUUUUAUAUAAAAGAAGAGACAAUGUAUAAGAGUGUUAAAGAUCGCUUCCACCAAGGACGCACACCCUAUCACACCUUACAAAUUAGCCUAUGCCUACACUCUCACAAAACGUGUCGUAGCCUCCUCCUCCCAAGCCCGCCAACCUCCACUCUUUGAGCUCCGCAAUGAUGGCAAGGGCUAAUUCUGGCGUCGUGAUCUGCUGAUGAGUCCGAUGGAACACUCUAGCGUUACGUUGCUUCCAUAAAGCCCAAGAGGUCGCAAUGAUCACCGUGUCGAAAACACGCUUGGAGUCCUUCCUAAAUUGAGCUCUCCUAGCCAGCCACCAAUCCAGCAAACAGUCCUCCGGCUCCGGGAUAUUGCCCUGCAAGCUGAAUGCCUCGAAGAUGUAGUGCCACACUUCCCUAGCGUAGAUGCACUGAACAAGAAUGUGUUUCGCGUUAUCAUCCUCUUGAAGGCACGUGUAGCAGGCAGAAGGUGAAUCCUGAAGGCCAUGUCGCGCUCUUCUGUCAGACGUCCAAAUCCGGUGUUGUACUGCCAGCCACACAAAAAAUUUACACUUGAGGAGGGACCAACUCUUCCAUAUGCAUGAGGCGUAAGGGACCCUCACAACACCCAAAUUGAGCCUAUAAUAUGUUGACUUGGCAAUGUAUCUGUCAGAUGGGUCCGCCGGCCAGAAAAAGGAGUCUUCGCUGGAAGGGUCGCGAUUGACCGUACUGAUCGCAAGGUUGAGGUGUAAAAGUUGCAAGUGGCCACCAAAGUUAACUUCACCGGCAAUGUCAAGCAACCAUCUCGCAUUCUCUAACACUUCCUCACCCGUGCGGCGGUUAACCGUUCGUGUGUCCAUGAAAGCGUGGAUGUAUGGUGCAAUGUCUUUAACCGCGAAGCCAUGGAUCCACCUAUCUCUCUAGAACAAAACUUUGUUGCCCACCCCAACCGAAAUAUGCACCAUACUGUCAAAGACCGCACGAGCCUCCUUGUCCACGACCAUGGGUAGCCCUUGCCACGGCCUCUCGGGAUCCGUCCACCUCAGCCACUCCCACCUCACUCUCAAAGCCAAGCCUUGCAGUUGAAGGUUGCGCAUACCCAGACCACCAAGCCAAGUAGGUUUACAAACCGAAUUCCAAGCCACCAAGCACUGACCGCCAUUCACCUUGUCUUUGUCGGCCCAAAAUAAAGAGCGCAUCCAUUGAUCUAUCUCUUAAAACACCCAAGAAGGAGCCUCUGUGACCAUAAAAUGAUGGAUGGGCUUGGCCGCGAUCACGGACUUGACCAACACGAGAUGUCCUGGGCGGUGCAACAACCCCCUUUGCCAUGUCGGGGAAAACUUUUUGGCUUAAUCGAUCAUGGGUUGCCACUCCGCCCUUGAAAGCUGUCUAAUAGCCAAUUGAAGGCCAAGGUAUUUGCAUGGAAAACUGCCCAGCCGACAAUGCAAAAGAGACUCGACCCGAUCUCGAUCGUUGUUGUUUCCAUGAAUCAUGAUCGCCAGCGACUUCUGAUAGUUGACCCGCAAGCCAGAGGCAGCACCGAAAGCGUGCAACAUGGAUCUGACGCAUGUGAGGUCUAGCACCCGGGGCUUAACGAACAAGGCCACCGCAUCUGCGUAGAUCGACACCGAUUGGUGAGCGGCGAUGCCAGUGAAACUGCUAGUGACUCCAAUGCUCUCGGCCUUGAUCAUGAUUCUCGACAGCGCGUCCAUGGCAAUCACAAAGAGCAGAGGCGAGACCGGGUCCCCCUGCCUAAGGCCCUUAGCGUGGAUGAAACUUCUUCCAGGAACCCCGUUGACGAUCACCCUGGUACUGGCGGUCCUGAGCCGAAUCAAGAUCCAUUCACACCACUUAUGACCGAAGCCUUUACUCCUCAUCACCUAGAACAUAAAAGACCAGUUAAGCGAGUCGAACGCCCUAGAAAUGUCGAGCUUUAGGAACACACUGGCCUCCUUGCGAGCGUGAAUCUUCCUGGCCACUUGCCUAACUAGAAGAAAGUUAUCAUGCAAGUGUCUACCACAUAUGAAGGCGGACUGAUUCGUCGUGACAAUCUCUUUCAUUCUUCUUCGUGCUCUAUUCGCAAGCAACUUAGCGAAAAUCUUGGCCACACUGUGAGGGAGACUGAUGGGGCGAUAGUCCCCCACUUCCUCGGCGUCUGGCUUCUUCGGAAUCAACACAAUGUGAGCGCGGUUAAUCUUCCCGAAGCGUCGCCCAUCACCCACGUAGAGCUUUAGGAACACCACCAUCACCUCGUUCUUGAUUGUGGGCCACGCUAUUUGAUAGAAAGCAACGCUAAACCCAUCCGGCCCAGGCGCCCACUCCGGAUGCAGCUCCUUUAUAGUAUUCCACACCUCUUCCUCCGUGAAGAUCGCAUCAAGAUCCGAGAGAUCAUGCACAACCAUGUCAAGGAAGUCCAGGUCCACAUCUACUUCCUGAGCAACAGCGUGACCCAAAAGCUGCUCAUAUGAUUCGGUGAAGAUCUCCUCCUUUCUUUCUUGCUGGGAUAUUAAUUCCCCAUUAUGUCUAAUGUGAGGGGUGAAAUUUUUUGACCUCCUUCCAUUUGCCACAACUUGAAAGAGUUUAGUAUUUGCAUCGCCCUCACGGAUCCACCUCAAACGGGAACGUUGUUUUUCAAUGGUAUGUUGAAGGGAAGCAAGCCCCAACACCGAAUGCUUGAGGGUUCUCCUCAACCAUCUCUCCUCCAAUUCAGCACACGAACCUCCAUGGCUCUAUCCAGCCUAAGGAUGACGUAGUUAGCCACAUCCAUCUGAAUUUUGAUGUUCCCUGUCUUCCUUUGGCCCCAGGCUUGUAGGGCGGAUGCGGUGUUCCUAAGUAACAUGUCAAGCCUCUUGAAGGGGUCAACGAUAUCAUCCUCACACACCCAUGCAUCUUUAACAGCCUGCUCGAUGUUGUGCACAUUCUAAGUCAGUUUGUCGAAAAAGGCAGCAGUACCUACCGUUAGCACGGCGGAAGCGCUCCCUCCGCGUCGUCUCCCGCGAGGCGGCCGGAGGCCAACCCCAACCCUCGCUGCCGCUCCCUCCUCCCCCCUCCUCCCUCGCCGCCGCCCAGGGGCGCGGCCGGGCGAAGCCCUGCUGCUGCCGGCGGCGGCGGGGCCCCUUUGUCUCCCCGCUCGGGCGUUGCUGGCGCGGGUCGGCGCCCCGGGCCAGGUCGUGGAGCUGCGGCCGGGCUCCAUGGCGGCGCGGCAGGCUGGGCGGCUCCUUGUCGUCCCUUCCUUCCCCCAUGGCGGGCGGCUAGGCGGGUGGCGCGCCUAUGCCCGAGACGGCGGCGGCUCUUGCGCGGCCAGAUCUGGCUCAUGGCGGCGCGGGCUGCGGGCGGUGCGGGCUGCCAGUGGCCUCCUCUGUCGUGGCCGCGGCAGGUGGUGGUGGCACCGCAGCAGAUGGUGGUGGCGGUGCGGGCUGGAGGUCGAAGUCGGCGGCCGCUGCGGCUUUUCUGGAUCUGGCCUCUCGGCGGCGCGGGCCGCGACGGCUGCGGGCUGCAGGCGGCGGCCCUGACCGAGGCCCCCUCGGCUGGUCGGGGUGGCGGCGCAGUGGCGGUGGCUCCGGUGGUGCGUGUCCGGCGGCUCCGGCGCUUGGAGCUCGCCGGGCGACGCGGAUGGGCAGCGGUCGAGCGUGGCUGCUGCUCCGGCCGUGGGCGGUGGCAUGGGCAGGUCUUGGUGGCCUAUCGGUGUUGUGGCGGCUUCACGGUGGCUCGAUGGAUCUGUCCGUGGCAACGGCCGGCUUAUCCGGCGUCGGUUUGUCUGCGUUCGGGCCGUCUCGACCUUCACCCCAUCUCCUCGUCGCCCGGACGCUACUCCCAUCAAAGGGCUGGUCCUCUCCCAGCUGCGGUCCACCGCUCGUCUCGCGCCCGAUGCAGCAGAACAUAGCUCAUCUCGCGCACGAUGCAGCAGGACCGAGCUCGUCUCGCACAUGAUGCAGCAGGACUGACCUCGUCCCCCUCUCGUUGCUGCAGGACCGAGCUCAUCUCGCGCUUGGGGCAGCAAGAUGGGUCGGUGGAUGCCAAUUCUGGCCGACCUAUUGGGUCUCGACGCUGGGGGUCGCCCAGGGGCGUGAAAGGUGGGACCUUUCCGCUCGUCUCUUUCGUUGGGGGGCGGUGGGUCAUGGGUGAGGUGGUGUCGAGGUCUUGGAUGCUGGGGCGGCGGCCCUGGUGAUGGUGGUUGUGCGGUGCUCUUGGACGAAGCCCGUGCCUUGGUGCUGCCCGAUCAUCAUGGUCGUGUGGGCGGCGUGAUUGCCUGGGUGUGGCUUCGGUGGCGGUGAUUGUUGGCCGAGGUGAAAACCUGCUCUAUCUUCAGACCAACCGGCGGCGGCGAAAUCGUUCCCUUCUUGAAGGCGUCGUCGCGGCUCUCAUUGCCCGUCAUGCGGCUCCGGGGGAAACUCUGAUCCUUGGAUCGGGCGGUGGCGGCGCUCCGGCGUCGUAUCCUUCUUGAAGGCUCCACCUUGGAGCGCAUGGUUCGUUAUAUGUAGCUUCAUAUCUUCGGGGCGGUAGUGCUAGGAGUGGUGUUGCUGCGCUCAGGGCCUAUGUAUCCUGUCUUGGGUGUGUGCGUGUGUCGCGGUGGCGUGGCGUGUGGUUGUACUGGAUGCUUGUGGUUUGGUGCUUUAUAUAUAAAGCGGGGCGAAAGCCUUUUUCGGUAACAGCCUGCUCAAAUCCUUCUAGCCGAGUCCAGAACAUCUCGAAAUGAAACCUACGUUUCGGGCAAAAAGGGGCCGAAGUGGAAAGAUGGAGCGGUGCGCGAUCCGAGAUGUUAGUGGACAGGGCUUGGAGCAGCACAUCUGGGAAACUGAGCUCCCAAUCGACAGAGACAAGCACCCGAUCGAUCUUGGUCAUAACCACCUAUUCUCUUUCGUUGGACCACGUGAAACACCUUCCAUGCAUAUAUAUAUCUCUUUGAGCUCGUUGUUAUCCACGAACGACUUAAACUUCCUCAUCAUGCCCCUAUUUAGGUUCGAAUUGCUCUUCUCCUCAGCUCUAAUGAUCAUAUUAAAGUCUCCAAGCACCAUCCAGGGCCCCGGAGACACGUCCCUUCUAAGCUGGAGAUCCACGAGGAACUGAGUUUUUAGCUCAUCCCAUUGGGGUCCAUACACUGCCGACAACCACCAUUCGAAGCCAUCUUUGUUACGAACCAGACCCGAGAGGAAGUUAGUAUCCCGAGUGAUGUUAUUGAUCACCAAGAACGAGCUAUCCCAUCCCAAGAGAAUACUACCCCUAGUAUCCGAUGUAGGCAAGUAGGCGAAACCAUCAAACGAUGGCCCAAUGCAUUGCAUUACCAAAUAAGAGUCAAAAGCUUCAAGUUUGGUUUCUUGAAGACAUACAAGAUUAGCCUUUGCCGCAACCACAAACUCCCUAACUAUGUUUCUUUUAGCGGGGUUGUUGAGCCCUCUCACGUUCCAACAAAGUACUUGAGGGUUCCAAUCCAUGAGAGCCAAGGGCACACCCACACCAACGAGGACAAACAACCUCAAGCUGUGCCCACCAACAUCGUAGUGCCGGAGCUCAUCUCAGGAGUCGGUGCUACCUCCUUACCAAACAGUGUCGCGACACCCUCACAUGUUGUUCCCUCAACGGAGAGUCGAAGAGCUCGGCCAACUCCGCAAUCUUGUCGUCAUUGCCAUACACAUCCUCCGGAACUAGCCCUAGCGCUCUCAUUAGCACAUUCUCCGCCUGCGUAGCCUUGGACUUCCCAGCCGGAGCCCUCUUUGCGUUGUGUGUUGCUCUCCGAGGAGUGAAAGGCUCGGCUUCUGGCCUUAGAGAAGACUGCACCUCUAGAAGAAGCGGAGGGACCAACUUCCUAACCAAAGCGUUGCAGAACCACUUAAGCUCCCCGAAAGCAAUCACCUCCUGGGGUGUCUGAAAGUGCAACUAUCCCUAGGUGGUUUUGGUAAUUCCUAACAACAUAUAGCUCAUUGAGCUAAUGUUAUUUCUAGAUAAAUAUUUCAGGAAAGCUCAAUGAAUGGCAUGGCAUGGAUGAGAAAAGUGGACCCCUCAAAAUGCUAAGGACAAAAGGAUUGGCUCAAGCUCAAAGCUCAAGACUCUACAUUUUAUAUUUUAGUGAUCCAAGAUCCCAUUGACUCUAUAGGAAAAGCCAAUACUAUCAAGGAGGGAUGAGGUGUUGCUUAAUGAGGUUCCUGCUCAAAGUGCUUAGUGAUAUGCUCCAAAGCCCUCAACUACUUUCUCACAUCCACAUAUGACCUAAACCAAAAGUCAAACUCGGCCCCACCAAUUCUUUCUAUCCGGCGCCACCGAGUUCAGAUGUCAUAGCCACUGCCACAAACCCUAGGCAAAUCGGUAUCACCGAUAGGGACCUCGGUCUCACUGAGAUGGGAUUAUAAUCUCUCUGUUUCCCUUCAUAACGUUUCGGUACCACCGAGAUGAGCAAUCGGUCCCACCGAGAUUGCAAUGUAAACUCUCUGUUUCCCUUUCAUAACAUUUGGGUCUCACCGAAAUGAGCAAACCGGUCCCACCGAGUUUACCUGACCAACUCUCUGGUUAGCUUAUUACCAAAACCGGUCCCACCGAGUUUGUGUAAUCGGUCUCACCGAGAUUAUUUUAUGCCCUAACCCUAACCAUAUCGGUCCUACCGAGUUGCAUGUCGGUCCCACCGAAAAUCCUAACAGUCACUAGAUUUGUUGAAUCGGUCCGACCGAGUUUCUCAAUUCGGUCCCACCGAGAUUGGCAAGUUGUGUGUAACGGUUAGAUUUUGUGUGGAGGCUAUAUAUACCCCUCCACCUCCUCUUCAUUCGUGGAGAGAGACAUCAUAACGAACCUACACUUCCAACUUACAUUUUCUAAGAGAGAACCACCUACUCAUGUGUUGAGACCAAGAUAUUCCAUUCCUACCAUAUGAAUCUUGAUCUCUAGCCUUCCCCAAGUUGCUUUCCACUCAAAUCUUCUUUCCACCAAAUCCAAAUCCUGUGAGAGAGAGUUGAGUGUUGGGGAGACUAUCAUUUGAAGCACAAGAGCAAGGAGUUCAUCAUCAACACACCAUUUGUUACUUCUUGGAGAGUGGUGUCUCCUAGAUUGGCUAGGUGUCACUUGGGAGCCUCCGACAAGAUUGUGGAGUUGAACCAAGGAGUUUGUAAGGGCAAGGAGAUCACCUACUUCAUGAAGAUCUACCGCUAGUGAGGCAAGUCCUUCAUGGGAGACGGCCAUGGUGGGAUAGACAAGGUUGCUUCUUCGUGGACCCUUCUUGGGUGGAGCCCUCCGUGGACUCGCGCAGCCGUUACCCUUUGUGGGUUGAAGUCUCCAUCAACGUGGAUGUACGAUAGCACCACCUAUCGGAACCACGACAAAAACAUCCGUGUCUCCAAUUGCAUUUGAAUUAUCCAAACCCCCUCCUUUACAUUCUUGCAAGUUGCAUGCUUUACUUUCCGCUGCUCAUAUACUCUUUGCAUGCUUGCUUGAAUUGUGUUAAGAUUGCUUGACUUGUGCUAAGUUAGCUAAAAUCUGCCAAAUACUAAAAUUGGGAAAAGGAUAAGUUUUUAUUUGGUCAAGUAGUCUAAUCACCCCCCCUCUAGACAUACUUCCGAUCCUACAAGUGGUAUCAAAGCUUUGGUCUCCAUUUGCUUUGAUUUCCAUAGCUUUUGGUGGUCAUAGCCUUGGUUUCACAACCUAGGAGAGUAUGGCGUCUAGCGAGGGAAACUAUCACCAUAGAGGUCCUUACUUUGAUGGUACUAAUUUUGCUAGUUGGAAGCAUAGGAUGAAAAUGCAUAUUCUUGGACAUAACCCCGCCGUUUGGGCUAUUGUGUUUAUUGGAUUGCAAGGUGAAUUCUUUGAUGGGAGAGAACCGAACCAUGAAGCUAGCGUAGAUGAGUUGAAGAUGUUGCAAUACAAUGCUCAAGCUUGUGAUAUCCUCUUCAACGGAUUGUGCCUCGAAGAAUUCAACAAAAUCAGCCGUCUUGAGAAUGCAAAGGAAAUUUGGGAUACUUUGAUUGAUAUGCACGAAGGUACCGACUCCGUCAAGGAAUCCAAGUUGGAUGUGCUUCAAAGUCAACUUGACAAGUUCAAGAUGAAGGAUGGUAAAGGCUUCGCUGAAAUGUACUCUAGGCUUGCUCUCAUUACAAAUGAGAUUGCCGGCUUGGGAAGUGAAGAGAUGAUCGACAAAUUCAUCAUCAAGAAGAUCCUAAGAGCUUUGGAUGCAAAAUAUGAUACCGUGUGCACAUUGAUCCAAAUGAUGUCCAAUUACAAGAAUCUCAAGCCAACAGAAGUCAUUGGAAGAAUUGUUGCUCAUGAGAUGUCACUCAAGGAUAUGGAGGAGCUCCACAACAAGUCAAGUGGUGCUUACAAAGCCUCAUGUGAAGCCACUACAUCAUCAAGUGAGAAACAAACCUUCAAUGAAGAAUUGAGCCUAAUGGUGAAGAACUUCAACAAGUUCUACAAGAGUAGAAGCAAAGAGAAAAUCUCCAAGUCAAGGUCCUACAAUGACAAAAGAUCUUCUAGUCGAGAGCGUAAUUGCUAUAAUUGUGGAAGACCCAGACACUAUUCCAAUGAGUGUACGACUCCCUACAAAAGAAGAGAAGAAUCACCUAAGAGGAUAAGUAGAAGAGAAGAAUCACCACCAAGAGAGAGAAGGAGUAGAGAUGAUCGUUAUGAAUGAAGAACAUCCCGAAGAAGCAAGGAUUCGGAAAGGAAGGACAAGUCAUUAAGGAGCUACACAAAACAAAGACAUCAAGCUCAUGUUGGUGAAUGGGUACCCGGCUCCGACUCCGACAAUCACUCCGAGAGAAGCUAUCACUCCGACUCCGAACAUACUCAAGAUGAAGGUGUUGCCGGUCUAGCACUUGUGUCAACCAACUCCUACGACAUAUUUGAUUCACCAAAUGAAGGACUUGGAAGAUGCUUCAUGGUUAAAGGCCCAAAGGUAACACAUCCCGAGUAUGUUGAUUUCAAUAGUGAUGAAGAUGACUUGUUAGGUGAUGAUGAUUUACUUAUUGACAACUCUAGUGAUGAAUACUAUGAUGAAACGUCAAUUAAUCAUGCUAAUCAAGAUAAAAUGAAUGACAAUGAUAAGGAGAAGAUUGAGCUCCUAACUAAAGAACUAAACACUCUUAAGUUAGCUCAUGAAACUAUCUUAGGGGAUCAUCGAGAACUUUUAAGGACUCAUGAGAAGUUACGCUUUGAAAAGCUCAACCUUGAGCAAGAGCAUGAGUUCUUAAAGGCAAUCAAUGAUGAUCUUUGCAAGAAAAGUUCUUCUUACAUUGCCAAGCGUUUACACUUAUCUACUUACAUGCCUCAAGUCAAGUCUAGUAACAAGAACAAGAAGGAUUCUUCCUCUAGUAGUAACAAUAAUCAUGUUAAAUCCAAUGUUGUUGCUUCUAGUAGUUCUCUUGAUUCCACUAAUGAUUCUCUUAGCCAAGUUAGAGCAAGAAAAUAGCUUAUUGAAGGGAAUUAUAGAGAAAGGUGUUUACAAGAGCCUUGCUGGGAGUAAGCAAUUCGAGGAAAUUGUACGCAAGCAAGGAAGGCACCGGAAGAACCAAGGUGUUGGUUUUGAACGAAAGUUCAAUGCCAAUGGAGUUGAGUGGGAAGAAGAUCAAUACCCCAAGACGAAGUUUGCUCCUCAACAAGAGAAGUAUGAUCCUACUUCCUUCAAAGGGACACAAGCUCAAGAUGAUCUUCCACCACAAGACCACAAGCAAAAAGGCAAGGAUGAGCUUCAAGAGGAGAUUGAUGCAUUUGAAGAAGCUCCCAAGGCCUUGGUCAAGUGGGUUCCCAAGACUAUGUCAAGUUCUACUUCAUCAAGUACGACUACAACUCCAAGGAUUCCCAUCAAGAUGAUGUGGAUCCCGAAGAAGAAGAACUAGAGAGUUCUUGAGGGUGACUCCGCCAACAUACUUCACUCAUAUCAUUUUGGCAAGGACAAGUGCAAUCAACUUCCACAUCUUGCACUAGUUCAUGGAGUCACAAACCCUCUUGUUGGUAAGACAAGGGACAAGGUAACCUAAUGCUCUCAUAGACAUCAUUUUGUGUGCAUCACUCUAUGUCUAUGGAUAUCCUUGUUUGUUCCUUGUGGGACUAACCCGUGUUGGUAUUGAAAGUGCAACUCACUCCAAAGGAUUGCUCCAAAUGAUCUACAUCAACAUUGAGCAUCCACAUCUUCAACACCUACAUGAAGUCAUCAUCGACAAAACCCAAGGUUAGUUCAUCCCUCUAAGGGGGGAUCUCACAUCUAGGGGGAGCUUUACUCUAAGAAUUGAGUUAAAGCAACUCUAAUGGUGUGAACACAACAAUGCAUUAUGUAAAAGUGGCAACCCCACUUGAGCUUAAACGAUGAGUAUGACCUAUGAUCAAAUGUUCUCAUUUGACUCCAAGUCAAUAUACUCAUAUAUAGAUGACCUAGUCAUCGCCAAUUGCUUGCUAGAUACUAGAAUGGUUGUGCAUGCUUUGCCACCUAUUUCAUUUGUCAUUUUAUUGUGUGAGCAUGUUGGAUGCAUAUUUCACUCAUCUAGGACAUCCACUUGUAGUUUUGAUUGUUUGGUUUCUUUUCUUUUGCCAAGUGGAUGGACAAGAAUACCUAAGAACCUUCUAUAGCUAUCUAUUCUUUUCUUGUCUCAAACUCUAUUCAUGCUACAUCACAAAGUUUGACCAAGUCAGAUUCGAACCACUCUGUGUGAGGAGCACUCGGAGUCCCCGAUUCGUCAUAUACUUAAACUUCCAAAACUUAUUUGUGCAUUUCAGUCUGACCGAUUCUUCCAUUUCGUUCAUACCGAGAUCACUAAGUCGGUCUAGGUUUUCAAUCUCGGUGCAACCGAUUUGAACUUUUCGGUCACACCGAGUUGCAGUAACUGCUUGUAGUGAUGCAUCUCGGUGCCACCAAGUUGUUCCACUCGGUCACACCGACAGGGUCGGGCUAUAUAUAUCCACGGGCCAAAUUUUGGAAAUUUCUCUGAACUCUUUCGCCGGCGCUCAGCUUGCUCUGCCUCCCUGGGUCUCCGGAUCGUCCUCCUCGUCGCCAGCUGCCUCCCGUCGCUGGUCACCGCCAACGUCAACGGGAAUCAUCUCCGCCGUUGCCGCCGUAGCAAGUCCAUCGCCGAACUAGGGUAUGGACUUGAUCCUUGUGCUAAUCUCACUCCGAUUCCUAGCACAUUGUUUUUGCCAUGUAUCUUGCCACGAUUGAGAUCAUCUUAUCCAGCAAAAACACUCGUAGUUUAAUUGUGAAUUGAAAAAUUAGGGUUAGGUUUCCGCCGAAACCAUCUAGGACCAACCGAGUUGUAGAAAUCAGUUCCACUGAUUUGGCCAAGGCCAUUGCACAUGUGAUUCUCGGUCUGAUCGAGAAUUGCAAAUCAGUGUAACCUAGUUUAGGACUUUGUGAAACCCUAGUAGUCUCUGUGCCACCGAACUGUGACUCGGUCUGACCAAGUUCACUAGUUUAGGUUCCAAAAGCUCCUUCGGUAUCACCGAGUUUACAAAUCGGUAGAUCCGAAAUGCUUUCUGUAAACUAAGACUAAGUUUUUGACUCAUUCUUUUGCAAAAACCUCUGUAUUUUGUGAUGCUCAUCCUAUCUACCUCAUCAAUAUCUAUUCACAGAGUCUGUUGUCAGUGUUUGCAACAUGUCUGAUCAAAGUGAUAGUCAGAACAAGUUUGAGGAACAGGUUCACAUGAGUGAGGGCACUACUCCCUCUAGCAGCUAUGAUGGUAGCAGGAGCACACCCAGCAACUUACUUAAGGCAGCCACCAGGGCCAGAAAGAAGAAAACCUCGGAGUCUGAGGAUGAAACUAUGUGGCUGUUGAGGAUGAGGCCACUUCCAAGAAGAAGGUGCUCAAGAAGGAAUAUGGCACAACUGCUGCCACUAAGCCUGGUAUGAGGACCAAAGCACCUGCUAGAAGAAUUCCCAUGUCUAAAGCCAGAGCCUCCACUCAAGUACCUUUGGAAUCUGAACCCAAAGAGGCUGCUGAAGAAGGGAAGAAGAGGAAGGAAAGGGUCAAGAAGACCAUGGCCAGGGUUGUAGGAAAGCCUUCCAUGAUGGACGAGGAAGAAGAGGAAGAGGUUGCUGCACCAGCACCUAAAGCUCAGAAGCUUAUGGGUGAUGCCAUCAGGUCAGGGGCUGCUUCAUCAAAGCCCAAAGAAGCUCCCAAGGCAGCUGCUCCAAAGCCUAAAGCUGCACCGAAGAGGAAUACAAGGAACAUUCCUGCUGGAGAGAAGAACAAGGCCCUAGUGCCUGAAGCUGUUGUUGAAGAAGAAGAUGAUGAGGAACAUGUCUUGAGGAAGUUGAAGCCCAAAAUUCCAGAUCACAAUGAUGUUCAUCCUGUAGCUGAGGAUAUGAAGCUGAGAAAGGAUGCAGGACUCAGACAGUGGAGAUUGACUGAUCCCUAUGCAGUCAGGAGGAGAACUGCUGUGGACUACAGGUUCCAUACAAAGGAACAACAGGACUUCUAUGAGACAAUGCUACUUGACAAGAAGCCAAUAGUCUGUGAUAUGAGAUGGGUGGACUGGAAAUAUAUCGGGGAAAAUUAAGAGCACUAUCCUGGAGUCUAUGACAGUUUCAAUACUUGUGGAGUGGAUGACUUUGUUGGGCAGAAGCUCACAAAGUGGAAUGAUGAGCUUAUAAUGCAGUUCUACUCCACAGCUCACUUCUAUCCAGAUGGAAGGAUAGUAUGAAUGUCUGAAGGUACUAGGUACCAAUCAACUGUUGAAGAAUGGGCAAGUGCACCUAAGGAGAAAGAGGAUGACUUGGAUGUCUAUGCCAAGAAGAAGAAGGAUCACAACUCUAUGACACAUAUGUACAGGGAGAUCCCAGAUGCUGCUGUUGAAACACACAAGUUUGGAUCAGUACAUUACCUUCUGUCAGGAUUGCCAACAAUCAACUAGAUCCUCAGGCACACUCUUUUGCCUAAGUCAGGUGAUCACAAGAUGAUCAGAGGCCAUGCUAUCAAUCUGCUUCACAUAUUUGAUGUGCCUCAAAAGUUCAAGGUCAUGAGCCUCAUAGUGGAAACUAUCAAGAGGACAACUGCUGACCAAAAGAGAAGUUGUGGGUAUGCCCCACAGAUCCAGGAGCUAAUCAACUCCAAGAUGGGCACUGGCACAUACCUCUUGGACAAGGAUCACAUGCCCAUCUACCCAGAUUUUGAGGACAACACAGUGGUUAUGGAUGAAAAUGAACCAUCUUCUGUGCAAGCACAAGCAAAGAAGGAGAAGGCAAGGACUGAAAAGGCUACAAAGAUGCCAACCAUUGAUGAGGCAUCUCAGUAUUUCCUGAAGAUCAAGCAAGAUCAGCUUGGCUACUUGAUUGCCUCCACUCUGAGGAUUGAGAAGGGAUUGGCCACCCUGACUCAAAACCAGGAGAGUCUGGAGAGGAUCAUGGAGCAGAAGUUCUAUGACUUGGAUGUGAAGGUCGCUGAGAUACAAUCAGUUGUUGAGCAACUUCAGGAUGACAUGCAUGAGAGGAAGGGCAAGACUACCACUGAUGCGUUUGCUAGAGUGCCUAGAGCACAGAGAUCUGCUGCAGUGCCUAUUCCAAACACAAGAGCAACUUCGUCUGCACCAGCUACAGCUUCAGUGCCACCAGCUCCAGUACCUACUCCACCAGCUCCAUCUUCAUCAACUGAUGCUUUCGUCCUUGGCGCUAUUUCUACACCACCAGCUGAAGACCAAGCCUGAGUGUCGAUUUCGUACUAUGCAGUUUCUAUGAACUUUUUGGUAACUUGUUGCCAAAGGGGGAGAAAAAUGUAUAGAUCAUAGGCUUCGAGAGAGAGCGUUGCUUUUUAUUCUCUCUUGUUUUGGUGGUUGAACUUUGUUUGCUUGUUUGAUAUACUUUAUGCCUGUGUGAUACUUGGAUGAUCAUGUGUCUGAUCAUAUGCUACAUUAAUGCUUGUUGUAUGACAUUAUCCUUUUAUCUCUAUAUGAUCAUUCACUUUGCUUGGUGAUGAGUGCAUGUAUUUAAUUAUUAUCAUGUUGAGCGCUCCACCAAGAUGUAUGUGACAUGGGAGAGUAACUCAUGAUCCUAACUCAUUGUGCAUUUGCAGUCCAAAGCAAAUCUUAAACUAUGCACAAAUUUAGGGGGAGCUCUCACAUUUCACAUACUUCUCAAAGCGACAAUGUUUUUCAAUCUUAUUAUCAUUUGUCGAAGCUUUGAUCUAUAUGUUUUCAUCAACUACCAAAAAGGGGGAGAUUGAAAGUGCAACUAUCCCUAGGUGGUUUUGGUAAUUCCUAACAACAUAUAGCUCAUUGAGCUAAUGCUAUUUCUAGAUAAAUAUUUCAGGAAAGCUCAAUGAAUGGCAUGGCAUGGAUGAGAAAAGUGGACCCCUCAAAAUGCUAAGGACAAAAGGAUUGGCUCAAGCUCAAAGCUCAAGACUCUACAUUUUAUAUUUUAGUGAUCCAAGAUCACAUUGAGUCUAUAGGAAAAGCCAAUACUAUCAAGGAGGGAUGAGGUGUUGCUUAAUGAGGUUCCUGCUCAAAGUGCUUAGUGAUAUGCUCCAAAGCCCUCAACUAAUUUCUCACAUCCACAUAUGACCUAAACCAAAAGUCAAACUCGGCCCCACCGAUUCUUUCUAUCCGGCGCCACCGAGUUCAGAUGUCAUAGCCACUGCCACAAACCCUAGGCAAAUCGGUCUCACCGAUAGGGAUCUUGGUCUCACCGAGAUGGGAUUGUAAUCUCUCUGUUUCCCUUCGUAACGUUUCGGUACCACCGAGAUGAGCGAUCGGUCCCACCGAGGUUGCAAUGUAAACUCUCUGUUUCCCUUUUGUAACAUUUCGGUCUCACCGAAAUGAGCGAACCAGUCCCACCGAGUAUACCUGGCCAACUCUCUGGUUAGCUUAUUACCAAAACCGGUCCCACCGAGUUUGUGUAAUCAGUCUCACCGAGUUUAUGUUAUGCCCUAACCCUAACCAUAUCGGUCCUACCGAGUUGCAUGUCGAUCCCACUGAAAAUCCUAACGGUCACUAGAUUUGUUGAAUCGGUCCGACCGGGUUUCUCAAUUUGGUCCCACCGAGAUUGGCAAGUUGUGUGUAAUGGUUAGAUUUUGUGUGGAGGCUAUAUAUACCCCUCCACCUCCUCUUCAUUCAUGGAGAGAGCCAUCAUAACGAACCUACACUUCCAACUUACAUUUUCUAAGAGAGAACCACCUACUCAUGUGUUGAGACCAAGAUAUUCCAUUCCUACCAUAUGAAUCUUGAUCUCUAGCCUUCCCCAAGUUGCUUUCCACUCAAAUCUUAUUUCCACCAAAUCCAAAUCCUGUGAGAGAGAGUUGAGUGUUGGGGAGACUAUCAUUUGAAGCACAAGAGCAAGGAGUUCAUCAUCAACACACCAUUUGUUACUUCUUGGAGAGUGGUGUCUCCUAGAUUGGCUAGGUGUCACUUGGGAGCCUCCGACAAGAUUGUGGAGUUGAACCAAGGAGUUUGUAAGGGCAAGGAGAUCACCUACUUCAUGAAGAUCUACCGCUAGUGAGGCAAGUCCUUCAUGGGAGACGGCCAUGGUGGGAUAGACAAGGUUGCUUCUUCAUGGACCCUUCUUGGGUGGAGCCCUUCGUGGACUCGCGCAUCCGUUACCCUUCGUGGGUUGAAGUCUCCAUCAACGUGGAUGUACGAUAGCACCACCUAUCGGAACCACGACAAAAACAUCCGUGUCUCCAAUUGCGUUUGAAUUCUCCAAACCCCCUCCUUUACAUUCUUGCAAGUUGCAUGCUUUACUUUCCGCUGCUCAUAUACUCUUUGCAUCCUUGCUUGAAUUGUGUUAAGAUUGCUUGACUUGCGCUAAGUUAGCUAAAAUCUACCAAAGACUAAAAUUGGGAAAAGGAUAAGUUUUUAUUUGGUCAAGUAGUCUAAUCACCCCCCCUCUAGACAUACUUCCGAUCCUACAGUGCAUACCCCCAUCUCCCUCCGAAAUCUGUGUUUGCAUGGCCUGAUUCACGUCCGGAAUCACCUGAACCAGCGGGCGGUCCUGGGAAGGCGCCACUUGUAACUGCACAUCCACACAUGCAGGAGAUGUCGCUCCAAUCAUUGGCUAGAUUUUUACUAGGGUUCCAAUUCACACACACAGGGCGCCCAUUUUUAAUAUUUGAGGGUUCCAAUUUACGAGGGUUCCAAUUCACACAUGUGUGGAUGUGCAGUUACGAGGGUUACAUUGCAACACCCAAGGGCGCAUCCACUUGUAACUGCACCAAAGUACUUGAAUUAUUACACGCACAAUUUUUUUAAAUAUAUUAUUCCCUCCGGUGUUUUACAAGUUGUUUUAGCUCGCAAGAUCAUAAAUUAUGAGAAUAAUUCAAUGUCACUGCAGCAUGUCAUCUAAAACCCAAUUGCUAAGGAAAAUGUUUACAAAACUUACAGCGAUGUGUAAGCCUCCUCUAACCACUGCCACGCGUCACGGUGGGGCCCGCACACCGCUUCUACACUCUCAUCCUUAUUUCCCACGUGAGCACCUUAGCCACACAAUUCUAAAGUCGUUGUCCCCCAUCUCCCCCACACCUCUAAGAUCGUGCUCCUCCCUCCGGUCAAUUCUCUUCCUCUGUCCCCUGCCCCAUAUUUUUUUCACUAGUGUAUUGAAGCAGUACUCAUGUGCUGCCAUGGCCAACUAGGAGACGACGUCGUUGCAAGCCCGCUGUGGACGCUAGUGCAGGGGGGCACCGACCCAACAAUGGGGGGUUGUGCGGCAAUGCUGCAACGGGUGAAGGGGUCAUGUGGCUGUGCUGAAGUGGAGCACUAGUCGGUGGCUCCGUGUGUUGUGAUGCAGCGCUCGGUGCUGCAAUGGAGCUUCACCGCCGGCUCCCGGUGCUGCGAUGCUGCGCUCGGUGCUACAAUGGCGCUUCACCGACAGCUCUAGGUGUUGCGAUGCAACGCUCGACAUCGGCCCCGGAACUGCUUGUAGUACUCAAUGUUGCAAUGGAGCUUCACCGGCGACUUCCAGUGCAACGAUGCAGCACUCGCCAACAGCCCCUAAUGUUGUAGUGCAGCGCUUGCGGGCAGCGUUGGGUGUUGCAAUGCAGCACUUGCUGGCGGUGCCAGGUGCUAUGAUGGAGCACUACUACGCCAGGGUUGCCGUUGUAGAAAGUGUCACCGACGACCGUUGGUGGAGCAUCAUUGCUCUGCAGGUGAGGGGGUGUGGCUCCUGCUGCGAGCCGGGCAACACUGCUUCCCACAACGGCAUGCUUUGGUUGCUUUGUUGCGACUACGACGAGAGAGGGCUCCCCUCUUAUAGUGUUGACUGAAUCCAACGGGUGGCGAGUGACGUAUCUGACGGCCCAGAACCCGACUGAUUUCUCCAAGAAAUCAGUUGGUUGAUUCAUAGCAGCCGUCAAAUGCUAGUUAGUGCAGCUGCAAGGGGAGAUCAAACACACACCUUAUCCACCGUCGGAUGCAAUCUUUUUGGCAAUAUAUAUUGAAAGUGCAAGUAAUCCCCGGGUGGGUUUGGUAGUUCAUAACAAUAUAUACGUCAUUGAAUUAAUGCCUACUCAAAGAAUAUUCCAUGAAACUUCAUCUUAGGUAAGGCAAAGGGAUGUGAAUGUGGAACCCUCAGAAUGCAAAGGACAAACAUUGGCAAAGUUUCAAGACUCUGCAUUUUUGGUUAAGUGAUCUAAGAUUACAUCGAGUCCAUAGGAAAGCCAAUACUAUUAAAAGGGGAUGAGGUUUUGAUCAUGGAAUAACUGCUCAAGAUAUUGCUCCAAAAUCCUCAGCCACACUCUCACAUUUAUUGAUGUCUGAAACCCUAAAGUUUAUCUCGGUCCCACCAAAACACAUCUAUCCGUACCCACUGAGAAACACUUGACAUAGCCUGCCUAAACCCUGGCAGUCUCACCGAGAUGACCCUUCGGUCCCAUCGAAGAGCACUUGCCAACCUUCUGGAACCUAUCGAUUUCACUUCAGAAUUUUCGAGUGGUUUUGAUCGGUCUCACCGAAGUGUGGAAAGUGAUUAGGUAAUCACCCAUCGGUCCCACCAAGUUGUUUCAUCUAGUCUCACCGAAAAUCCUAAAGUUCAAACCUUUUGUACUAGUUGGUCUCACCGAGUGUUUUCACCUGGUCCCACUGAAUAGUGCAUAAAGGUGUAAUAAUUACAUUUUUGGGAUGGAUAUAUAUACCCCCACCCAUUCCACCAACUCUUAGAGUGCAACCAUUUCAAAGCUAUAACUUCCCAUAUCCAUUUUCCGAGGGAGAAACACCUACACUUGUGUUGAAAUCAAUGGGGUUCCACUCUAACCUUUGAUCCUUGAUUUCUAGCUUCCCCAGAUUGUUUUUGUUGGAAAUAUGCCCUAGAGGCAAUAAUAUUGUAUUAUUACAUUUCUAUAUUCAUAAUUAAGUGUUAAUAUUUCAUGGUAUAACUGUUAUGAUCCUGAAAUAUGUGAUUCAGUGGAAAACUCGUCUGCACGUGUGAAAUGAUAAAUGGAUAAAAUAAAGGUUCCGAGUCUCGCCUCUAAGACUAGCUCAAGUGUUGUUGGUGAUCAUGUUUUUCGAAUCUUAGGAUAUUGUUAAGUGUAACGAUAGUACUAAAACAAACAUUGGGAUUAUGACGUUGGAAGAACGAUCAUAUUGAAUCGACCCAAACUUAUUUGUUAUGAAUUAAGAUAAUAUCAUCGGUAAUCAAUUGUAAUAGGAUGGAGUGUUAAUGUGUGAUUUUGCUCCUUAGACCAUGAGAGUAUUGUGGUCACUUCUUAACCUGCGGUGGACUUUGGGGUUGCUCAAAUGUCACAUGUAACACGGUGAUCAUAACAACAACUUACAGGCUCAUCGGAAAGUUUGACAAGUGGCCGGAUAACUCAAGAGUGCGAUUUGCUCCUCCGAUGAUGGAGAGAUAUUCUUAGGGCCCUCUCGGUAUGACAACAUCCAUCAUCGUCUGGCCAGACAUAGGUGACUAUGUCACAGGGAUGCCGGAACACAAUAAUGAGAAAGAAGAACAAAACCGGUAACGAGGAUUACGGUAGAUGAUGAUGAUGGUGGCAGCAAUGAAAAGCCAACGGUCAGCAGCAAGAAGCGUCCUCGCUGAGACGAUGUCGUGGGGCCAUCCAAUAACAAUAACAAGAAGAAGGACUAAAUUAAGCAGACUGUGUAUAUCUCUGUUGUUGUUCGCUCAUAUUAAUUCGUUAUCUAUGUUUCCCCUGUCAAUCUCAUUGCGGACGGUUAGCAAUACAUAUUCGAUAGAGAUCUUUUACAUUAUCGCCCACAUGUUGGUUUCUUGAAUUGUGUGCCCUGUCGAGCACACAAUUCAUAACAAAAAAAAUCAUAUGCGCUAUUUAUAAUUAUCGCACACAAUUCUGAUUAGUUACCUGUUUGCCGACUAUCACACACAUCUUGUUACGCCGAAUCGUUUGUGCUAUUCUCGAUCAUCGCAAAUAGUUCAUCCGACUGAACUGUAUGUUGCCUAUCACACACACCUUGAUAUGGCUGACCGUUUCUGUUGUUCUGGCUCAUCGCGACAGUUUGUAUGGAUCAACUAUAUGCCAUGUAUUGUACACGCAACUAUAAUCUGAAUCGUGUUUGAUGUCUCCACCAACGCAAAUGGUUCGUAUCAUUUUUUAUGGUUUUCUUACAACACCAUUUGCGAUUAAUACAUUGCACACAGUUUCGUCGAAGGGUCUCUGAUUGUAGUGUCGUGUGAAGGAAAUAUGCCCUAAAGGAAAUAAUAAAGUUGUUAUAUAUAUUUUCUUAUUCAUGAUAAAGGUUUAUUAUUCAUGCUAGAAUUGUAUUGAUCGGAAACUUAAAUACAUGUGUGAAUACGUAAACAAAUACCGUGUCCCUAGUAAGCCUCUACUAGACUAGAUCAUCAAAGAUGGUUAAAGUUUCCUAACCAUAGACAUGUGUUGUCAUUUGAUAACGGGAUCACAUCAUUAGGAGAAUAAUGUGAUGGACAAGACCCAUACGUUAGCUUAGCAUAUUGAUCGUUCAGUUUAUUGCUAUUGCUUUCUUGAUGAUAAAUACAUAUUCCUUCGACUAUGAGAUUAUGCAACUCCCGAAUAGCGGAGGAAUACCUUGUGUGCCAUCAAACUCACAACGUAGCUGGGUGAUCAUAAAGAUGCUCUACAUGUAUCUCUGAAGGUGUUUGUUGAGUUGGCAUAGAUCGAGAUUAGGAUUUGUCACUCCGAGUAUCGAAGAGGUAUCUCUGGGCCCUCUCGGUAAUACACAUCAUAAGAAACCUUGCAAGCAAAGUGACUAAGGAGUUAGUUGCAAGAUGGUGUAUUACAAAACAAGUAAAGAUACUUUCCAGUAACAAGAUUGAACUAGGUAUGAAGAUACCGACGAUCGAAUCUCGGGCAAGUAACAUACCGAAGGACAAAGGGAAUUACGUAUGUUGUCAUAAGGUUUGACCAAUAAAGAUAUUCGUAGAAUAUGUAGGAGCCAAUAUGGGCGUCCAGGUUCCACUAUUGGUUAUUGACCAGAGAGGUGUCUCGGUCAUGUCUACAUAGUUCUCGAACCCGUAGGGUCCGCACGCUUAACGUUCGUUGACGAUAUAAUGUUAUAUGAGUUAUAUGAUUUGGUGACCAAAUGUUAUUCGGAGUCCCAGAUGAGAUCACAGACAUGAUGAGGAGCCUUGAACUAGUCUAGAGGUAAAGAUUGAUAUAUAGGACGAUGAUAUUUGGACACCGGAAGAGUUUCAGAGUGCACCGGGUAGUCAUCGGCUCGCUGGAAGGCGUUCCGGACACCCCCGGUAGGUGUAUGGGCCUAAUGGGCCAAAGGGGGGGACAGACCAGCCCACAAGGGGGCUGGUGCGCCCCUUCCCUAGCCGGCCGACCCUAGUGGAAGGAAAGGGGAGGGGUGGCCCCUCUUGCCUUUCCCUCCUCAUGUGUGAAAGGAACGGGGGGCGUCACCCUCCCUUGCCUUCCUCCCGCACCUAUACAUGGCAGGGAGGCGCAGCUUGGGGCAGGACCCCAAUUGGGAUUCGGCCCCACUUGGGGCGCCUCCAGGCUAACUCCUCCCUCCCCCACCUAUAUGUAUAUGUGUGAGGGGGUGCCUAGCACAACCACGACAAUUGCUUAGCCGUGUGCGGUGCCCCCCCACCGUUUACACCCUUAGUCAUAUUUUUGUAGUGCUUAGGCAAAGCCCUGCGGAGAUAGCUUCACCAUCACCAUCACCACGCCGUCAUGCUGCAAGAACUCAUCCACUACCGCGCCUUCUUGCUGUAUCAAGAAGGCGGAGGAUGUCACUGAGCUGAACAUGUGCUGAACGGGGAGGUGCCGUACGUUCGGUACUCGAUCGGUUGGAGCGCGAAGAAGUUCGACUACAUCAACCGCGUUAACAAACGCUUCCGCUUACGGUCUACGAGGGUACAUAGACACACUCUCCCAUCUCGUUGAUAUGCAUCUCCAUGGAUAAAUUUUGCGUGUUCAUAGAUUUUUUUUGUUUUUCAUGCAAUGUUUCCCAAUAGUGGCAUCCGAGCCAGGUCUAUGCAUAGAUGAUAUGCAUGAGUAGAACACAAAGAGUUGUGGGCGGUGAUAGUCAUACUUCUUACCACCAAUGUCUUAUUUUGAUUCGACGGUAUUGUGGGAUGAAGCGACCCGGACCAACCUUACAUGUCCACGCACAUGAGACCAAUUCCACUGAGAGACAUGCAACUAGUUUUGCAUAAAGGUGGCUGGCGGGUGGCUGUUUCUCCUACUUUAGUUGAAUCAAAUUUGACUAUGACUGGUCCUUAAAGAAGGUUAAAACAACAAACUUGAUGAAUCACCAUUGUGGUUUUUGCGUAGGUAAGAACGGUUCUUGCUAGAAGCCCGUAGCAGCCACGUAAAACUUGCAACAACAAAGUAGAGGACAUCUAACUUGUUUUUGCAGGGCUUGAUGUGAUGUGAUAUGGUCAUGAUAUGAUGUGAUAUAUGUUUAUGCAUGAGAUGAUCAUGUUUUGCAAUAUUAACAACCGGCAGGAGCCUUAGGGCUGUCUCUUUAUUGUAUGAAAUGCAAGCGCCAUGUAAUUGCUUUACGUUAUCGCUAUGCGUUAGCAAUAGUUGUAGAAGCAAUAUUGGCGAGACGACCCCGACGCAAUGAUGGAGAUCAAGGUGUCGAGCCGAUGACAAUGGAGAUCAUGACGAUGCUUUGGAGAUGGAGAUCAAAAGCACAAGAUGAUGAUGGCCAUAUCAUGUCACAUAUUUUGAUUGCAUGUGAUGUUUAUCCUUUAUGCAUCUUAUUUUGCUUAGAAUGGCGGUAGCAUUAUAAGAUGAUCCCUUCACUAAAUUUCAAGAUAAAAGUGUUCUCCCCGAGUAUGCAUCGUCGCCAAAGUUCGUCGUUUUGAAGCACCUCAUGAUGAUCGGGUGUGAUAGACUCUACAUUCACAUACAACGGGUGUAAGACAGUUUUGCACAUGCAAAAUACUUGGGUUAAACUUGACGAGCCUAGCAUGUACAGACAUGGUCUGAGAACACUGGAGACCAAAAGGUCGAACGUGAGUCAUAUAGUAUAUAUGAUCAACAUAGAGAUGUUCACCAUUGAUGACUACCCCAUCUCACGUGGUGAUCGGACAUGGGUUAGUUGAUUUGGAUCACGUAUCACUUAGAUAACUUGAGGAAUGUUUAUUUAAGUGGGAGUUCAUUAGUAAUUUGAUUAACUGAACUUAAUUUAUCAUGAACUUAGUCUUAUAGUUUUGCAUAUCUACGUUGUAAUCAAUGGCCCAUGCUACCGUUCCCCUGAAUUUUAAUGCGUUCCUAGAGAAAGCUAAGUUGAAAGAUGAUGGUAGCAACUACACAGACUGGGUCCGUAACUUGAGGAUUAUCCUCAUUGCUACACAGAAGAAUUAUGUCCUUGAUGCACCGCUAGGUGACAUGCUUGUUGUAGGAGCUAAAGUAGAUGUUAUGUAUGUAUGGCAAGCUCAGUCUGAUGACUACUCGAUAGUUCAGUGUGUCAUGCUUUACUGCUUAGAACCGGGACUUCAAAGAUGUUUUGAACGUCAUGGAGCAUAUGAGAUGUUCCAAGAGUUGAAGUUAAUAUUUCAAGCAAAUGCCCGUAUUGAGAGAUAUGAAGUCUCCAACAAGUUCUAUAGCUACAAGAUGGAGGAGAGUAGUUCUAUGAGUGAACACAUACUCAAAAUGUUUGGGUAUCAUAACCACUUGACUCAGCUGGGAGUUAAUCUUCCCGUUGAUAGUGUUAUUGACAGAGUUCUUCAGUCACUGCCAGCAAGCUACAAAGGCUUCAUGAUGAACUACAAUAUGCAAGGGAUGAAUAAAAUGAUUCCCGAGCUCUUCGCAAUGCUUCAGGCCACAAAGGUAGAUAAUCAAGAAGGAGCACCAAGUGUUGAUGGUUAACAAGACCACUAGUUUCAAGAAAAAAGGCAAGGGAAAGAAAGGGAACUUCAAGAAGAAUGGCAAGCAAGUUGUCACUCCCGGGAAGAAGCCCAAAGCUGGACCCAAGCCUGAAACUGAGUGCUUGUACUACAAAGAAAAUGGUCAUUAGAAAUGGAACUGCCCCAAAUACUUGGCGGAUAAGAAGGGUGACAGAGUGAACAAAGGUAUAUUUGAUAUACAUGUUAUUGAUGCGUACCUUACUAAUGCUCGUAGUAGCUGAAAGGAUCGAGAUGGAGCUAGAGGGGAGAGUAAAUUGCUCAAAGCCACCACAUUUGUGUCUAGGAUACUCCCAAACCACCAUUUUUGUCAAAAAUCACAAAAACCAACCGCUUCUGCGGCAAGUGAGUAAUAAAUCGCACUAAACGAGCUGCCGGCCACGGCUAACCACAAAACUGACUUACCGAGCCCUUACCAGGCCCACACAUCAGGUUGACGUGGCAUGUGUAUAUGGAUAUGAUGAUAAGGUGAACUCAGUCCCACAUGUUUUCCCCAUCUUCUUCCUCCUGCCAGCAAAGUCCACCCCCACCCCGCCGCCCCUCCUGCUCCUAGCCGCCAUGGGCAGUACCCGACGCUUCGCGCCAUGCACUACAAAAAAAUACACUUCCGUGAUGAUACGUGUUUGUCACAGUAGGUCACGUUUUUUGUCAUGCAUGUACAUCCAUGACGAUUUUAUGACAGAAUCAAGAUAGUCAUACCUGUGCUGUCGUAGAAGUGUUCCAUGACAUUACCAAAAUUAUCAUCACAGAAGUGUCCACUUCCAUGACGAUAAAUCGCGCAUCACAGAAGUGCUUUCGUCAAGGGUGACCGACACGUGGCAUCCACCGUAACGGAACGCCGUUAAGCUAUCGGGUCGGGUUUUGGAUCCGAUAACCCGUUAACAACCCUGACCAAUGGGGAUUUUCCACGUGUAAAAUCAUCAUUGGCUGGAGGAAACACGUGUCGGCUCACCGUUGGGACAGAUGUCAUCUGCUCAUUGGACCGAAGGUGCCUAUGAUACGGCGACACGUGGCACGGCCCAACAGAGGCCCAUUCCUAUGAAAAGGACGGCCCGUUUGACUUGGUUAAAAGGUGGCGGGCCGGCCCACGGAAAGCCUAUUAACGGCUUGUUCGCAUAUAGCCCAUUUACAGCCCGCUAACCCAGGGCCCGUUACGCCCUAUCCGAAUUAGGCCCAGUAGCGUCAUCUGGGCCGUCCAAUAUGAUUCCAGCCCGUUUUAACUUUCAGCCCAUGUGUGGCCCAUGACUUCUUUCGGCCCAUAUGAGGCCCUUUGUAACUCUUGGCCCAUUAACGGCCCGUGGUGAAACUGGCCCAUAAUGAACAGUGUAUCACUUUAUACCCAUUAACGGCCCGUUAUUCUAUUGGGCCGUUUCUAGCCCAAGUUAUCUUUCGGCCUUCUCAGGGCCCAUUGAUUGUUGGGCUCUUUUGCAGCAUUCGGUUACAUACGACCCGUUACUGUCAUUUUCUGCUUGUGGGCCAAAUUCAGCCCGUCGUUACAGUCGGCCCAUUUGCGGACCGUUAAUACGUUGGGCCAUUUUCAUGUCAAAAAAACCCGUUGGGUUGUUUUCAUAGAGUUAUCAAAUAUGGUCUAUUAACGGCCCGUUAUGGUCCAUGAAUAGUACAGCCCAUGAUUGGCGAAAUGAUGAUACGCCCCGUAGAAGGCCCAUGGAUCUAUGGCCCGUAUGAGGCCCAUGGAUCUACGGCCCGUAGAAGGCCCAUGGACCCUACAACCUGUAGAAGGCCAUGGACCCUAAGGGCCGUAUAGAAGGCCAAUGGAUCCUACGACCCGUAUAGAAGGCCAAUGGAUCCUACGGCCGGAAGAAGGCCCAUGGAUCAUACGGCCUGCAGGAGGCCCAUGGUUACAAUAGUCCGUGUGUUGCCAUGAUUAUUUUGGCCUAGUUACCAAAAAUAGGCUAUUGUGUCCACUAGAAAACACAGAAAAAGAACUGUAGUGACUACAAGCAAACAACUAAACAAGACAAUUAGGAAAUAAAUAAACAAGCAAUUAACGCUAGCCUAUUACCGCUAUUACACAUAUUACAUCCACUGGGCAUCAAAGUUCGCCACCAGUGUAAAUAUAGGGAACAAAGCAGCAUAUUAUAUACACUGGCCGUGAAAAUUGGCCACCAGUGCAAGUAAACACGACAGCAAAGCAAGAGCAUAACUGAAACGACUUUAGAAGAGCUCAAGAAAUGUUAUCCUGGGUAUCCACCAUGCUGGCAAUAAGCUUAGCAAGCUGAUUAGCUUUGUCCUGUUUGGCGCUAAAAUCCUCCAAUGCUUGCUGUUGCACCAGAAAGUAUGCAUCUGAAUGCUGCAGGGACUUCCGCAGUCCUUCCGCUUCUUGUCGCAGCAUAGCUGAUCGAUGUCUUUCAGCUUGUAGUUGAGACUCAAUAAACCGUACUGAUUCAGACAGUGAGUUUGAAUAGCUUGUGUAAGAGGUAGUGGCCAGUAACUCGAACACUAAACCAAGACAGGACUUUGGGGUUGUCUCGCUGUCUUCAAGAUAGUCUUCCUUAGUUGUUUUAUCAGCUUUGUUGGAGACCAACAAGGAUGUGUCACUAUCUUGAACCUUAUCUGCAUUACUUCCUUUACCAUUGCUUAAUAAGGCACUCUUCCCCAAUAUUCUGUCAACAUUCUAAAAGAAGAAACAAGCAGACACAUAACAAGUUUAGCAUGUACUAGUAUAUGAAACUCAUUUCGGUGAACCAGUUCAUUAGUAAGGUGGACAGGAUUAAACUACCAAGUCUUCUAUUGCCAAGUACUAGUACAUAAUAAAAGCAUCAAACAAACAUAUAUCUAUGUCCUGUGGUCACUGCAUUGUCUUGCCAAAUCAAAAUAGAGACACGGUUCAAAUCAUAUCAGUUCAAGACAAAGCAGCAAUGAAAGAAUACACAACAUGGGAAACUACAUGGCACAACAAGAUUUCAGAUGGGUACCACGGGUCUACAUGUACAACAACACUAUUGGCUCUGUUGUGAUGCUAGUAAUGUGCAUGAUAUGAAAGUCAACUGUAUACACAAUUGAAAUUGAAAUCAAAAGAGCUGUUGAUAAGAGCAAACUUGUUAAAGAAACAUGCGUGAACAUACCUGCUGUGCCAUUGGAGUUUCGAUUGGGUCCUUCAAUUUAAAAAUAAGUUUGUAUGAGUAAAUACAGUGAUACAAGAGCAAAUCAAAUUAGCAAUGGAAUCUUAAAUUAGAAUAGUUGUUCUUUAGGUUUAGGCACUUGUUCUACAUGAACAGAGUAAAGUAAGACACAAGAAUAUAAUACUUAAAAAUAGAAAAUGAGCUCAUAGACCUUACCACAUUCUUGGUUCGGGACCAGUAUAGAACAAGGCGUUCCCAGUCAUCGUCCAGUAAAUGUGUCUCAGGAGAACGUAAGGGAAUUUGAUGAGUUUCUUUGCUGGUGAAGUACAUUUUCUUCAGGUAAUUCCGAUACUACCACCAAGCAUUCUUGAAGAUAGCAGAGGUAUUAGCACAGGUUACCUCAUCCUGAGUUUCCAAAUCGGUCCUUCUCUAUAGAGAAAAAUGGGAAAAUUUGCUGUAUUAUAACCAUCAUGGAGGUAGGAUGUAUGGGAUGAAGCAAAGUAAUUGCCAUGAAUAACAUUACUUACACAUAACUCCUGGACAAACACCUGCAACUGGCAUUUUCCUUCAUCUUCAAUAUAAUAUUUCCAAGAUAGGAAGAUACGCACAUACGAUUUAACAACAUCAAAUGCGAUAGAUGCUAAACUAUGACUAGCUGGUUGUGCUUCCUCCACAGGAAUAGGCGUACUAACUGGUGGAGUUGGGGUUCGCCGUGAUAGUACUGGCCCUUUGGGCACUGGAGCUGCCUUACUAACUACUCUUGUUUGGGAGCUCUGUGGUGGAGAUGGUGCUGUGUCAACAGGAACUGGGUUACUAUCGGCUGGGGUUGGGGUUAGAUUGGGUGAAGCUGGUUCUCUGUCCAUCGCAGUAGGGGUACAAUCUGCGAGAGUUUGGGUUAUGUGUGGUAGGGCUGGUUCUUGUGCAUGUACAACCGGGGUGCUAUCUCCACCAAGAGGUAGCACUGUUUUAUUUGAAGACCGUGUUUUUAGUCCGCUAGAUACUGGCAUCACCCGCUCCAAUUCAAAUGGCUGAUAAACAGGAAACAUAGUUGAAUGUACAGACAUUGUAUGAGAGACAGGUGCAAUAGAUAGUGUGGAAAAAAGAGGGCAUGAAAUAGUUGACAUGUAUAUUGUUUAACUAAAACAGAUAACAUGACAUAAUUUCACAUAUAUGAUGUCUAUCUAAACUGGAUAGCAUAAUAUAACAUAAUUCAAAGAUAUGAUGAAUAACUAAACAUGAUCGCAUGACAUAAUUCACCUACAUGUUAUCUAAGUAAUCAGGAUUGCAUCAUUUAAUUCACAUAUGUGAUUUAUAUGCUAAACAGAGGGCAUUCGAUAUGAUGUAUGAACUAAGAACAUGGUGUUGAAUAUUGUGUAUAUGAUGUCUAAACUAUGCAAUGCAAGACACCGUAUGCAUGAUAUGAACAGUAUAACCAUGCCAAGUUAGAGCAUACACCUCAGUGGGGAAAUAGGACUGGUCAUCUGUCUCUGAAUCCAUCUCUGAGGAGCUAUCGGGGCCCAACAAGAGAUCUGCUUCGAUAGGUAGCACUGUCUGCUAUGAAGGCCUUGUUUUCACUCCAGAUUUUUCCAUCUCCCACCCAAAUGGCUGAUUCACAGGAAGAGUAGUUUAAUGUACAAACAUUGUCGACAAAUAGAAAUGUAAUGAAGAAAAGGAUGGGCAAGAUAUCAUUCAAAUAUAUGAUGCCUAGUUAAACAGGAUGGCAUUGCACAUUUCACAUAUAUUAUGGCUGGCUAAAAGACAUGAGACUGCAUAAUUCCCAUAUAUGAUAUAGAAACUAAACAGGUGGCAUUACAGAACAUGUCUAAACUAAGCAGAUGACAUAUAUGAUGUCAAAAGUAGGCACUGCAAGGCAACAUAUGCAUGAUAUGACUAACAUCAUCAUGCCAAGGUAGAGCAAACACCUUGGGGGGUAAAAUAGGAGUGGUCAGCGGCGUCUGAAUCCGCCUCAGAACAGAUAUCUUCCUCUGGAUUACAAUCUAGAGAGGUGUGAGGGUUUGCCAUUGAACCCACCAUGGAGCGAUGUUUGCAUGACAUUGUAUUGCCGUGCAAAACUCUUCUCUUUUUCUCUACAUGUUCAGCAUGACUGUGUACAAUAUCUAACAUGAAUACGAAAAAAUAUGGUGAGAUUAUGUAAGGAGAGCAUGCAGAAAUUUAGAGUGAUGGUAACAACCACUGGAUGGAUCCAAAAGUAAUGAUAGCAGGCUGAUGAUUGCUUUAAAUUAAUAAAAAGACAGAUGAUGAUUGCUUUACUAUUUGUUUCCCACCCAAGAUGAACAACAUAGGCAUACCCUAGGUGAACCAGAUAUUAGACAGACAUACUAUUCAUUGCUGCCUCGAUAUGUGCCCCACAACUAAUUUAGAACUCAAGUUUGAACAUUAAUUUGGACCUGACUUGGGAGUCCAAGAGCUGAACAGGAUGAUAAAGUAGCAGGUAAGUUUAAGCAAUGCAUAACAUAAGCAGAAACAAAAGAGUGCGGCCUCUCUUGUGGACCAGUGUACUCCUCAGGUUCAUCUGCUGAGUCGAUGAUGGUGAUGCCGUUGCGGUGGGUGCCGGCGGCAGGGAAGGAGAUCUGAGGCGGCGAAAGACGGUCAGGAGUCGUGAUGUCUGGUUUGCUAGAUGCUUCUAUCGAUGGAGCAGCUCAGGUGAGGUGGACGACGUCGCGGCAGGAGAAGGACAAACCACACAAAGUUCCCUUCGAAACGUACCUGUAACUGAAGUAAUUCUGUAAGGGCUCAUUUGGCUUGCAUGAUUCUUAAAACGCAGGAAUAGGAAAAACACCAGAAUAGUAUAGGAAAAUGCACAUGGUAAACAGAGCAUUUGUAAACACAGGAUUUCUGUCAACCUGGGUGUUUGGUUUACAGGAAUUGGAAGAGCAGAGGAAUGCAAAGAAACAUGGCCAAAAUAAAUUGAAACCAUAUGAAAGCGUGUACAGUUAGAAUGUUAUUCUGGCAUUAAUGCACUUGGUCUUGUUUUCAUGCAUAGGAUUUUGAAAAGUAGGUCCAGGUGGAUGUUUUGCUUCAUUCCUUUCAACAAAAUGCAUGAAUAUAUGAAUAGUAGAGUGCCAUUGGAAAAUUCCCUAUUGCUAUGUUUUCCGUUGAACCAAAAUAGCCCUAAUGGAUCGACGUGAAUGUAUAGUAAUAAGUGAUGCAACAAGUGUACAACCUCUUUGUCGUAGCCGUGUCGACCUCAGCAUCAUUGGUUGGUCGCUGAAGCAGUUGAGGCAGAGGUGGCUGUCGGAGGUGUGGAGGAAGAUCUGAGGAAUCUGUAGACGGCGUCCAGGGCACUGCUCUGUUGUGAUGGAUCGUUCUGUCGUUGAGCAGCUCCGAUGAGCCGUAAGACAUCAAGGCUGAAGCAGCACAAGACAGACAUCGUCAAUCUCAAGUGGGAUUCUAAUAACAUCUCCAAUAGAUGAUGUAAAAUGGAUGUGAAAUUAAAAUCACCAAAAACCACCUGACUACAAUAGAUGAGGUAAAAACUGUUGACUCUGAACUUAACUGUCGAAACUGAAAUUUACUGUGGAAUCUGAAUGAUACUAUCGAAACUGAACGCAAUGGUAGCAGAGAGGCACUUGACAUGUAGUUUAGGGAGGGCCUGCAGUUCAUCUUCAACCUGCACCCCCCUGAGCCGCCAGCCACCACCGGCCGAACCGCCGGCCCCAGCGCCGCCUCGCCGCCCCGAAACAACUCGCCACCGCCGCCUCGGCCAGCCCUCUAGCCCCCCCUGCUCUCCACCUUGAACCCUAAGAUAGAUAGUGGGGUACCUCUCCAGCGAGCCCCCGUCCCCGCUGCGGGUGGUUCUUCCUUAACUCCGGCGAGACCCCCCCCCAACCUCUGAAAAUCGACUGACCCAAAAGUCGAUUCAGUCGACUGAAGUGUGGCUUAAUCGGAGCAGAGCAGCAGCACGAGUGAGGGGGAGAGCAGCAACCGCAACUAGGCGAGCAAGCGAUUGAGUGAGAGCCGGAGCAGCAGCAGCAGCAGCGUGAGCAAGCGAGAGCCGGAGCAGCAGCAACAGAUCCGACUGGUAUGGACGCCACCACCAAAGGGGCCUCGCACUAGGGGAGAGCCACUGUGGAGAUGUCGCUCGCGGCGCCGACUUCAAGGUAGCCACUCCAUGGGGGUGCGAGAUGGAGCACCGUCGGCGCCGGGAGGUCGAGUUAAGGAGAAGGUGCAAUGCGAUGAGUGUACAACCUCUAUGGUGGCGCCGAGUAGGCCUCGGCUUCGUCCGAGGAGUCGGUGAGGAUGUUGCGGUUUCGGUGGAGCAGGUUAAGGCGGUGCUGUGGGGAUGGAGCAGCCACGAUAGACGAGGCGAUCAUUGGAGCAACUCCUUAGAGGUGGAGGACGGGGCGGCUGAACCGGCGGGACGGCGAGAUGGACGGCGGAUCCUCAUCCGGGGAGGUGGACGAGGGAUGUCGAGCUGUUGCGGUGGACGACGUCGUUGGGGAAGAGGCUCCGGCUGGGCAGCGGUGACGUGGCGGACGGAGGAGGGUGGGGUUUCGCGGCUGGAGUGGAGAGGUUAUGUCAGCCUGGGAUUUCGAAUGGCGAAAAGGGGGCGAUGGGAGGGGGUGAAGCAUGACUUAGGGACACGCUUGUCCAAAAUGUAGGGUGUGCUACAAAAGUACCCCCCACCGAUUUGAACUAGCGGCCCUUUCGGCUUAGGGUUAGAAGGUGGAUUUCGCGUGUCGGGAUUUGGCAGCUGGAGGGAGUUUUCGCGCGUGUUGUAAUUUCGGGAUAGCAAGGCACGGGCUGUGAAGGCGCCAGUUUUGAGAGCACGAUAUCUGAAUUUUCGGGAUAUAACAAGACGCGGGUUGAAUUUUAGGGACAAGCCUAACAUGUAGUAAUAUUGUACUUGUACGUACCAAAUCAAUUCACAUUUCCCCCAACCAAAAGAAAACGAAAAAAUAAAACUAUUCACACCACACAAAGAGAGUGGCUUGCCCCAUUUUACUUUACAAAUGCUAUUCAAAGCUACUCCCUCCUUCCAUCUAUAUAGGGCCUAAUGCAUUUUUCGAUGCUAACUUUAACCAAAUAUUAGAGCAAUGAUAUAUGACAUGCAACUUACACAAAGCACACCGUUAAAUUCGUCUGUGAAAGGUUCUUUCAAUGAUAUAAUUUUCACAUUAUGCAUGUCAUGUACUAUUAAUCUUGUCAAUAGUCAAAGGCGGUCUUAAAAAUCUCAUUACGCCCUAUAUAGAUCGAAGGAGGGAGUAUGAAUCCAUGUUAUGUCCGACUAAAUUUUUUCGCUUGAUGUAUAAUGCAUGUAACCUACUCAUACCAACAUUUUAGUGCAUUCCAAAUGUCUAUACUACCGCUGCAAUUCGAACUAAAUUUGAAUUCGUUUCUCUAUUUCAAUAAGAAUCUACAAUCAUGAUUGUUGCCAACUUCAACCAACAUUCGUGUAUUACCUUAAUAACACAUCACAUCAUUACUAUAGAGAUAGAUAUGAACUAUGUGUACUACAUGAACUCGAAUUCUAUUUUUUGAAUACACUUGAUGUUAAUUCCAAAUAAUAGUGCAUUUGAUGUACUAACUAUAUAUUCAUAAUCUAAACCAUGUUCCAUAUGUACACCGUGUUUAUCACACAAAGUAUAGUGCCCCUCCCCCUACAUUAUGACAAGCAUUUAGACCUGAGUUGCAAAAGCCACACAUUAGCCCAAAUUAUAAUCAAUGUUCUACAUUAUGAUAUCUUCUUCAAGUAUCCGUAUCCACUUUUUUAUAAUGAAUUAUGAUAUUUGUUCGUCUUUUACACCUUCACGAUCCUCUUCUAUUUGUAGCUAGCUAGCGCUAACUUUCUAUCGUGAAUGCACACGCCCGCCCCCCUCACACACCCUUAGCGUCCCCUCCAUCGCGCACGUUCAUUAUUUCUCUUUAGGUCGUCCACCAGCGGUGUGUGUAGGCCCCCGGCUCCUUCUUUCUAGCACACACUGGUCGAUAUACCUCUCUAGCCAAGUGUGCCUACAACAAACACAUAUAGACUUCCCCUCUUCUCUUCUCACCGUCCAUGCCCCCAUAUGUCCAAUACGAUUCCACGCAGGUGCACACUCCCGCCCCUCUUUUCAUUUAUCACAUGCUCGCACACUCCCCCCCUCGACAUGGUAGGCCUCUCGCACCACCUCCUAGCCACACCCUCUCCCCCUGUCUGCCUCUCCGGACCUUAUUUGCUUCUAACACAUGCAUGCGUGUAUAUGAACUGAUCUCCCUACAUAUAGCCAGGUCGACUAUAAUUCGUUUUCACCAAGCACUAAUACACUUACCUCGCUAGUUAUGUCUCUCCUUUUCUCGGACACACGACGGUUGAUCUUCCUAUGUAGUUACGCAUGCUUACCACAACCAUAUCUUCUCCCCUCAUCAUCCUUGAAUACCUCCACCCGUCUCUCACACGCACGUGCAUAGAUAGACAGACAUCCCCCGCCCUCUCUUAUUGAUAUUGCACUCAUACCCUCCGUUUGUCUAGCAGGCCUCUCCCACCAUUUGUGAGACGCCACUCCACCACCAACCUUCCGACGCUUUACCUUUGUCUUUUUCCCAACCUUAUUCCUCUGCUACACAUAUCCAUGGAUGUCGAUCGAUCUCCUCAAUACAUAGCUAGGUCUCUCUCCUUCCCCACACAUAUACUAGUCGACCGGUCUCUACCCCCCCCACACACCGAUAGUCGAACGUUGUAGGUAGGUAUCCAUGCCAUGGAGAAGAACUGCACCUCUGCCCUCUCAAAUUCCAGUAGACAGCCGCCCUGUAUCUUUGACAUGGGCAAACACAAAUUCGAUGGCACUCUUUAUCGAUCGCGCAGCCACACACUUCAUCCCUGUUUUCAAUUCUAUCGAUAUCUCACGUCCAUGACUCUGUUUCACACACAUUGCAUAUGUUACCGUUUUCUAAUUGAGAUAUCAUCAACACAUUGCCUUUGUUUCACACAAACCAUCUCUCUCACACACACCCACGUAGUACCUGCACCUAAAGAAGAAGUGCACGCAGGACGCACAUACUCACAUCUCGUUCUCGGCCACACCCGUGCGGGUACACGGUGGAGUUCAUUUCUGUACAAAAAGGCAGCCCACAUGAUAAUUUGACGCGUGUAGCGGUUGUUUACUCGAAGGAGGGUCGGGUACCAUGCCUAGAAUAUAAAACGAUUGCCGUGGGGAAAAUGGAAAAAUGGGUUUGUCUCUCGCCACACCAUCUCACACAAGGCCGCCGUGGCCUCUCUCUCUCAGUGUUGGUUAGUGAUCCGGCCGCAUCUCGUCCGCCGACGGAAAGGGAGGAUGUGCAUCGUCUCUUUGUUCGACGGUGUUGAGGCAGCUCGUCCCGAUAUGUGGUACUCGCCGUUCUCUCUGACCAAGCUCCGGCGCGGUAGGGCCUUCGCCACUUGCUCGCUGCCGCAGUAUGGGCAGAUCCCGGCCGCCGGCGCCCUCCUAGUAACAUCCCAACGAUCCUCAGGUACAGCUUCCUCCGGCCUUGCUCCACUACCCAUCUUCCCACGUUGCUGCAUGUGGAUCUUCUUUAGUUGUUUGCUUAAAUCGUAUCUCGUCCAGCGUACUUUCCAUCUUGCAAUCUCGUCCUCAAACCAUUUUUGAUAAACCACCAUGUGCUAUCUUUCUCAUUUUACCUAGAACAUGCUUCUUUUUUGUCGGUGUAUGUGUCUUCAACUCGUGUUAUUGGGCAGUAAUUGUUUCCUUUCGACCUCCUUUUGCAAACAGGGCUACCCAUUUUCACCUCAUUGCUAUUGCGACCUUUUGGUGAACUGCACAAAUCACUUUUCUGAAGAGUGUUUUGUGCAGUUCCGCCAAAAUGUCACACGGGCAACGUUUUUACAUUUCUGUGGGACUGCGGAAAGGGAGAUUGGUUUUGCUAUCCUCCUCAUCCAACUUUGUGCCUAAUCUUCUCCAACAAGAAGUUAGUCCUAAAGAGAGAUCGUAGAGGUGAUCGACUUCUAUUUAUGUGUGUUAUGUUUCAUCAUGUAGUUCCACUAUUAUUGUAAUCACACUGACUGGAUAUUUUUGCAAACAGGGAUGGUCCGCUCGAUUUUAGUGGAGAUGCACAAAAUGAUCGGAUUGUGGUGUCCUUCAUACACCUCUUUUUUGGCUACAGAGCUGGGUGAAACUAGCUGCCAAGCAAUGAACACUGUGCCAAGGAAAUGGAGCCAUGCCUACGAACAACAUCGAUCAAUUAUAUUAUUUUUCUUUAUUUGUACACCUUCUCACAAAUUUGUCUUCAGUUGUGAUGUGAAUAUUGGCGCUGAUCUGCGAACCAUUGAGAUGCAUUAGCCAUGGUAGUUUCAUUUGUAUUUGAUGGAAUGUUGUAACGAGAUAAUCUCGAGGCAAGACACAUGAAUCCUAAGUUGAAACCUUUUUUUCCUGCAGGAACCAAAGUUGAAACCUUCAUAGCAUCACAGUACAAUUUCAUCAAAAUUAUGCAUACAUAUAAACAAAUCCUGAAGGAUUGAUAGCAAUGCCAGAAACAAUUCAACUUCGUUUCACCGACAUGUUGGACAUCCUUCAUCCGGCUCCACGUGCCAUGCAGCAAUAUUGAGUGCACAACACAACUUCAGGGAAAGAUUCACCCCAGUCGUUGCGCCGCAGUAGUAAUGACUAGUGAGCGGUCAAAUCACAGAGCCCCACCUUCGCCAUAGUAAGUUGCUCGGACGAAGCAACCAUCAUUUCUUUGUUCCUUGAAUCCGCCGGUACUCCCAUAUUCCCACAGUAAUAAGUUGCUCGGGCGAAUCAACCAUCACUAUAUCCGCUCACGUGUGAUGACCACAGGAGCUAUCCAUUCAGAUUGCAUGUUAAAAAAUAUAAAGGUCGAUAACUAAUGCGGCAAACUUUCACAAAAAAAACUAAUGUGGCACCUCGGGCCAAUGCGGCCAGAUCGCAUUUUGCAUGAGAAAUUACACACCAUGUUUCAUUGACAUGUGGUCCCAUUCCAACAUAUUAGUGAGAUGACGGUGAGUAGUAGGAGUAUUUUUGAACGGACGUGUAGGCCGGGGCGCCUCUUCAUGAACCGAGGCAAACUAGCAACCGUCCACCGACUCUUCGCCUUUCCCUCUCGAUUUGGAACUGCUGUCGCACACUCUUCCUAUCCCUCCUCCAUUUUCCUUCAGCCCUUCACCCUUUAUUCUGCCAUUGUUCGAUCGUCUUCUCCAUGGAGGGAACAGGCCGGAAACGACCCCGUUAUUCUUGCCCCGAUCUGAAAGAUGACGUGGUGGAGGAACUCAUUGAUCGGUGCGACAUCAUCACCUCGGCUAGCAUGGCAGGUUCGUUCAAGCCCAUUCCCGACUCAACUAAUAACAUCAUUACAAGGAACCCAAGAGUCAAGGAGCAGUUUGAUCUCCUCUAUCUUCUUCGCCGUGACCCUGAUGACUGGCGCCGGCACGACGGAGGCCUCGCCCUGUGCAAGUUGAUGCUGCUUGAUAAUGAUACGUAUGAUGUUAAGAUGCCAUCACUUGUGGGCAAGGCUUGGGUAGGCGCAAAUGGAGAUUGGGUUGUUUACAUUGGGUCCAACUGCGAGUGGGAACUUGUGAAUGUGUACACUCGUGACCGGGUUCCACUUCCAAAAAUCUUAGCAGACUGCCCAGAGGUUGAGCACAGCGGUAUUGUACGCACGUUCAAAUACGAUCAUGGUGACUGUCUUCUACGGAAGAUAGCAAUUUGUCGAGUUCCCAACCGCUCUUGGAAUUACAACAACUAUGAAGUUGUUGCUAUCUUCGACAAGCUUGUUGCCAUCCUUGGUGGUUUGACUCGAUGGAUAUUGCUCAAAAGUUUCUACACACGGAUGUGUACUGUGAUGCAAUUCAAUAUGAGGGUCUUGUGUUUGCUUCCACCGCUCAUGGCACUAUUUUUGCAUGGGAUCCUCGUAGUUUCGGUAUGUUUGUCUUCCACCGUAAUUAUAAUUGUUUCAUCCACAUGCAUGCAGGUUAGCAAGUUUCCCUUUACUAAUUAACCUUCUUCUUGUGUUUCCAAGGUCCUAUGAACAUUCCACCACCUAUACUUGAAAAUUUUUAUAACCAAGGGGGAGAUGGCAAUGGUGAUGAUCACGAGCAUGAGGACGAGCAGAACGUAUAUACUCAGUGGUGUCUGGCAACUAAUUCUGAUGGAUCACCUCUUCUUGUGUGUAUACAGCCCACUGAUGAUGUUACUACUGAGGGAGCACGUGUUGUCUCCCAUGGUCGCACUCUCUGGACCUAUUCCAACACCCGUUGCAUGGUAUUCGGGAUGGAUACUAGUGUGCUAGCGCCAACACCUUCUCCCUGGUACAGAAUUGAUAGUCUUGGAGAAAACUCGCUCUUCCUUGGAUAAAACUAUCCGAUGAUGGUGAAAGGCGAUCCAACUACUGUUGACACAAUGUUACUAGUACCAUUUAUGAGAAGCAACUGUGUCUAUACCUUGGACAUUAGGGUGGUUCCCUACCCUGGUACUGAUAUAGUAGGCCGCUUCAGCCUGGAUGAUCAUUCCUGCAUUGGUCUCGAGAUCGACAAUUGAUGGCCCGUCCCAGAGAAUCACUUGUGGUUCAAAGCAAGCGUUUCCAACGCCGAGGAAUGGUUGAGUUGAAGUUCAUUUCAUUGCUUGUUAUUUGUUGUGUGGUGAAAACUUUAGUAUUUAUAAUGUAUCCUCGUUAUCGAUGUGGGUUGAUGACCUGUUGUAUGUAAUAAAAUGAUAUGCCUGUGAUAAACUUACUAAAUUUAUGAAUGGCUUUCAAGUUACUUCUGUGAGUGAGUGGUGCGACGAGGCAAAGAAAUAUUUUCCGAAUACAUAAUUGUAUGUGCAUUGCAACAGGUUAUCGAAUGAGGCCAAUCAACAAUAGUAUUACACUAUUUGUACUAGCUUCACAUGCUUCGCGCGUGUGCAGGUGUUUUUACUAUAGCCAUGUUGUACGUAACCAGCACCUCGAAUCCUCGAUACUAGUACUAUAUAGUAAGUAGUAGGAGUAGUAGGGUGGCAUGGGCCAGAACAAGCAUUCACGUCCAGGAGUACGGCACACGCCACCAGCACGACUUCCAUCUGACACCAUAUUUCUUGGAGUCCGUGCUAGAGCAAUCUCUUCAACCUCAUUGUUUCUCUAACUCAGCCAUCGCGCAACGGGCGAGGUGGGGGUUUGCCGAUAGUCGGUUUCCUCAACUGCGGUCCCACUUGUAAGGCCAACUCCAACGCUCUAUCAAUAUAUGGAUGUACUCUUCUUCCCAACACAAAAACUUGCAUCCAUUCUACUCCCUCCGUUGCAUAAUACAUGCCUUCUAUUUGUCAAAAUAUAUAUGUAUCUAGACAUGUUUUAGUACAUAGGUACAUCCAUUUUUGGACAAAUGGAAGUCAAGUAUUUUGGAACGGAGGGAGUACACAAUAAAAUUUUUAAGUUAGCACAACUAGUCUAAUCCGAGAGUACAACCAAAGAUUUGGUCGGGUUCUUCCUCCUUUUGCCGACACGUGGGACAUCCAGCAUCCAGGUCGUGUCAUGAAAGAAAAUAGAGUGGUAGUUGAACCCACAAGAUGUGCAUCUUGGGUUAAACUGUAAAUAGAAUCUUACUACUCUUGAGUAACUCCAAAUGCGGCCACCGAAGAUCUUUAUUGGAUUUGUUUUUCAUCACCAGCACAUCGAGGUGAAAGAUGUGUGAUACGUCGCCAACGUAUCUAUAAUUUUUGAUUGUUCCAUGCUAUUAUAUUACCCCUUUUGGAUGUUUAUGGGCUUUAUUUUACACAUUUAUAUCAUUUUUGGGACUAACCUACUAACCGGAGGCCCAGCCCGUAUUGUUGUUUUUUUUUGCCUAUUUCAGUAUUUCGAAGAAAAGGAAUAUCAAACGGAGUCCAAACAGAAUGAAACCUUUGGAGGCAUGAUUUUUGGAAUGAACGUGAUCCAGAGGACUUGGAGUGCAAGUCAGGAAGCAGCCAAGGCGGCCACGAGAUAGGAGCCCCCUGUAACGCCCCGGAUCCGAUGCACCAGGUGUCCACCAGUUAUUUGCCGUCGUUGCCAUGUCAUUUGCUUGCAUGUUGCAUUUUAUCAUGUCAUCAUGUGCAUUUCAUUUUGCAUACGUGUUCGUCUCAUGCAUCCGAGCCUUUUCCCCGUUGUCCGUUUCGCAAUCCGGCGCUCCUAUGCCCUCCGGCGUUCCCCUUUUCGUCUCCUGUUGUGAGUGGGUAUUGAACUUUCUCGGAAUGGCCCGAGUCUUGCCAAGCGGCCUUGGUAUAACACCGGUAGACCGCCUGUCAAGUUUCGUGCCAUUUGGAGGUCGUUUGGUACUCCAACGGUUAACCGGGUAACCGUAAAGCCUCCUUUGUCUUGCAGACCAACGCCCCUUCCAAAGUGGCCCAAAACCCACCUAACUCCCCUCCAUGCUCUCGGUCGUUCGAUCACGAUCGCGUGGCCGAAAACCGUGCCUCAUUUGGACUCUCCUAGCUCCCUCUACCUAUAAAACUAGCCCCUCCCCCGAAAUUCUCGGGCAAACCCUAGAGAUUCCUCCCCGCGCCGCCGGACGCGUCCGCCCCCGGCCAGACAUGUCCGCCGGCCACGUCGCCCCAACCAAUAGGAACGCGCCACGUCACCCCGCCGCCGCCCGCAGCCAACCGGCCGCCGCCACCUCAGCGCCUCCUCCUUCUCUCUCCUCCCGCGCCCGCCGCCAGCCCGCGGAGCCCAGGCGGGGCCCGCACGGGCCCAGAUCCNNNNNNNNNNNNNNNNNNNNNNNNNNNNNNNNNNNNNNNNNNNNNNNNNNNNNNNNNNNNNNNNNNNNNNNNNNNNNNNNNNNNNNNNNNNNNNNNNNNNNNNNNNNNNNNNNNNNNNNNNNNNNNNNNNNNNNNNNNNNNNNNNNNNNNNNNNNNNNNNNNNNNNNNNNNNNNNNNNNNNNNNNNNNNNNNNNNNNNNNNNNNNNNNNNNNNNNNNNNNNNNNNNNNNNNNNNNNNNNNNNNNNNNNNNNNNNNNNNNNNNNNNNNNNNNNNNNNNNNNNNNNNNNNNNNNNNNNNNNNNNNNNNNNNNNNNNNNNNNNNNNNNNNNNNNNNNNNNNNNNNNNNNNNNNNNNNNNNNNNNNNNNNNNNNNNNNNNNNNNNNNNNNNNNNNNNNNNNNNNNNNNNNNNNNNNNNNNNNNNNNNNNNNNNNNNNNNNNNNNNNNNNNNNNNNNNNNNNNNNNNNNNNNNNNNNNNNNNNNNNNNNNNNCGCGCCGCCGCUGGGAAGCUCCGCCGCCGCCCCUCGUCGCCGGCGCCGCCUCCCCGGCCUUCCCCGGCCCCGGACCCGGCCGGCCCUGUCUCCCUCAUCUCUGGUGCCCUCUCCCUCAUCUCCGGUCGCCGCAGCCCGCUACUCCGGCGAACCUCGUAAUCCGCGCCCGGAUCUGAGAUCCGAAGGUUGACCCCCGAAAUCCUAAGUCCCAGAUUUUUGUAAUAAUGAUGCCAUGUUCAUGCCAUCAUAUCUCUGCAUCCGUAGCUCCGUUUCGUGCGUGUAAUAUGUCAAAUUGUUUGUCUCGACGAGUACAUCAUUUCAUUCCAUUGCAUAAUAUUCAUUUGAGGUCAUCUUGAUGCCUGAAUCAUCGUUGUAAGAGUGCUUCAUGAUGUUUUCUGCUGUUUGUUAACAGAACGAGCUCUUUUGUCAUUUUUGCCAUGAUUGAUGUGUGCAUCCUAUGAGGUUGAUGUCUACAUGUGUUUUGAUCUAUGCUAUGUCUUCUUUACAGAGGUGCUUACCAUGUAUUUUUGUGAUCAAUGUGGUGACUAGUACAAGCAUGCAAACUAGGCAUCGUGAUGUUGCUGAUUUUAGUCCCUGUUCUGCUAUUAUUUUGAUGCCUUGUAAACUUGAUGCUACAGAGAGAUCCAUGCAUAUUUUGAGAUACUUCAGUAAGGGUGUUUUGAACAAUAGGUUAUUGUCUAUCCAUUCAUGCCCUUGGUUGCAAUUAUGGAGUAGUCUAGCAUGUAAUUUUCGUGCUCUACUUUUGCUUCAAAUUGUUUCCUGGCAGAUUGUUUACAUGUUAUUCAAUUUGGCCAAGCUUGUUGUAGUUGAUCCUUGCAUGCUAUGGACUUGUUCUUGACUUGGUUUGUUUCACAAACAUGUAUUCUUGAUGAUGCUAUGCUUAUCUUGUCAUGCAAUGACUUUUGGUGAGUGAAUCGAGCUUGUUAAGUAGGGUUCAUGAUGUUGCUGUUUUGCUAGGCUGAAUCUGUUAUUUCGUGAUGCUAUAUAAACAUGUUGCUACUAAUCAUUCUAUGCAUAAUCUGGAGAUGUUCUAUAAACAUGUUUUGAUCUACAUGUCAUCCUCUAUCCAUCCAUGCCCCGGGUUGCAUUUAUAGGUUGAUUUAGCUUGUUCAUAUCUUGCUCCAAAGUUGCUUCAUAAUGUUGCUGUCAGCCUGUUAACAUUAAGUUCACUUGUUCCCAUGUGUUUUGCUAGUGUUCCAUGCACCCUAUGGACUUGCUAUUGACAUGCUUAGCUUCACAAACAUGCCUUCCUACUGUUGGGUGCCUUGCCAUGCCAUGUAUUGCUCUGUAGUGAGUUGCACAAGCUCAUCUACAUGCCUUCACAAUUAUGUUUCUGCCAUGUUUGAAUCUGUAAUAUAACUUGCUAUGUUUACGUGGGUGCCAUCAUAUUUUUUGAUCCUUUUUGGCUCAUGGCCAGUAAGGGACUCUUGAUCUAUGCUUUGAGUAGAAUCAUGCCAUGCCUUUGUUUGCCAUGAUAAGUUCCUGUAACAUGUUGCUUGAUAGCUCUAAACAGUGCAUCGUGAUGUUAUUUUCUGCAAAGUCUGAAAUUGUUAUAACUUGCAAUUUUACCAUGUGUGUUUGAGCAUGUUCUAGUGAUUUCUGGAGAUAGCUCAGUGUUCAUGUUUUGUAAUGCUUUACCUGUACAUCAUGUCCAUGCCUUUUUUAUCAUGUUGGGAUGCUGUAGCAUGUUGUUUUGAUGCUUGCAAUAUGCCUAGUUGCUGAUUUGGACAGCUUGUCCUUUAAACUUGUUUCAUGUGUGUGUGUUGAACCGUUGCUCCAUUUUGAGUGUGCUCUAUAUGAAACUUUCUUAGAAUUGCAUGUAGUUUCAUAUUAUCAUGUUGCAUCCUUGUUUUGAGGUGUUUGCUUGAUGUUUGGGUGCAUUUUGCAUCAAUGCCAUGUUUAACUUGUGUUGCUCAUAUCUUCUAGGCCAUAGCUCCAAAUCUAAUGAACUUUAUAUGUAACUUGACUAGAAUCUCGUGUAGAUCAUCUUUGUGCAUCUUAACUUGCUGUUUAAUAACUUGAACAUAAGGUUUAUUCAGAUCUGGACCAAUUUCGAAAUUUGCAUAUGAGGACUUACCGGAAUUGUUAUAUGUUGUUCCCGGCCUCAUUUAAACUUGCCUUGAUGUGUUGCUCUUGUUUGCAUCAUCUCUUGCCAUGAGUAGCUUCAUGUAGCCUUGUCAUGCAUCAUGCUUGUUGUGCAUCAUGCCUUGUUCAUGUGUGGUGUGUUUAUCAUGUUGCGUGCCUCUUCUUGUUAGUUCCUGUUUCGUUGCGAUCGUGAGGAUCCGUUCGUCUACGCUUGGUUCGGCUUCAUCCGUUCGUCUUCUUCAUGGACUCGUUCUUACUUGCGGGAUUUCAGGCAAGAUGACUGCUACCCUGGAUCUCACUACUAUCAUUGCUAUGCUAGUUGUUUCGUUCUAUCGCUAUGCUGCGUUACCUAUCACCUGUUUAUUGAGGCAUCCCAUAUUGCGAUGAACCUCUAACCUUUGACACCUUUCCUACGCAAACCGUUGUUUGGCUAUGUUACCGCUUUUGCUCAGCCCCUCUUAUAGCGUUGCUAGUUGCAGGUGAAGUUGAAGAUUUCUCCAUGGUGGACAGGAUUUUGGUUGGGAUAUCACAAUAUCUCUUAUAUUAUUAAUGCAUCUAUAUACUUGGUAAAGGGUGGAAGACUCGGCCUUUUGCCUGGUGUUUUGUUUCACUCUUGCCGCCCUAGUUUCCGUCAUACCGGUGUUAUGUUCCCGGAUUUUGCGUUCCUUACGCGGUCGGGUGAUUUAUGGGACCCCCUUGACAGUUCGCUUUGAAUAAAACUCCUCCAGCAAGGCCCAACCUUGGUUUUACCAUUUGCCUCACCACCACCUACCCUUUCCCUUGGGUCGGCCAACCCAAGGGUCAUCUUUAUUUUAGCCCCCCCGGGCCAGUGCUUGUCUAAGUGUUGGUCCGAACUAGAGCCCUUUGCAGCGCCCCCUCAGGGAAACUUGAGGUCUGGUUUUAGUUGUACGGAUUGCUCAUCCGGUGUUGCCCUGAGAACGAGAUAUGUGCAGCUCCUAUCGGGAUUGUCGGUGCAUCGGGCGGUCUUGCUGGUCUUGUUUUACCAUUGUCGAAAUGUCUUGUAAACCGGGAUUCUGAGUCUGAUCGGGUCUUCCUGGGAGAAGGUCUAUUCCUUCGUUGAUCGCGAGAGCUUGUCAUGGGCUAAGUUGGGACACCCCUGCAGGGUAUAAUCUUUCGAAAGCCGUGCCUGUGGUUAUAGGCAGAUGGGAAUUUGUUAAUGUCCGGUUGUAGACAACUUUGUGUGUGUAGCCGUGAUGGUCUCUUUUCGGCGGAGUCCGGGAAGUGAACACGGUUUCUGGGUUAGGUUUGACGUAAGUAGGAGUUCAGGAUCACUUCUUGAUCAUUACUUGUUGACGACCGUUCUGCUUGCUCUCUUCUCGCUCUUAUUUGCGUAUGUUAGCCACCUUAUAUGCUUAGUCGCUGCUGCAACCUCACCACUUUACCCCUUCCUUUCCUAUUAAGCUUUGCUAGUCUUGAUACCCAUGGUAAUGGGAUUGCUGAGUCCUCGUGGCUCACAGAUUACUACAACAACAGUUGCAGGUACAGGUUAUGCGAUGAUCAUGACGCGAGAGCGAUGCUUGCUUGCAUUGAGUUCUUCUUUUGCUUCUUCGAUCAGGGGAUAGGUUCCAGGUCGGCAGCCUGGGCUAGCAGGGUGGAUGUCGUUUGAGUUUCUGUUUGUGUUUCAUCCGUAGUCGGAUGAUGCUCUUAUGUAUUGUGAUGUUGUAUUCAUGUGGCAUUGUAUGCCUCUUGUAUGUAUCCCCAUCUAUUAUGUAAUGUUGAUAUAAUAAUAUCCACCUUGCAAAAGCGUUUCAAUAUGCGGGUCUAUCCUUGGUGGGACCUUCGAGUUCCUUUUGGAUAGGGUCGCAUAUUGGGCGUGACACCCCCCCUGUAGGGCGCGCCCCUGUCUCGUGGGCCCCUCGGGCGGCCAUCGACGUACUUCUUCCUCCUAUAUAAGCCUACAUACCCCGAAAACAUCCAGGGAGCACCCAAAACACAAUUUCCACCGCCGUAACCUUCUGUAACCGCGAGAUCCCAUCUUGGAGCCUUCGCUGACGUUCUGCCGGAGGGGGAACCGACCAUGGAGGGCUUCUACAUCAACACCAUAGCCCUUCUGAUGAGUUGUGAGUAGUUUACCACAGACCUACGGGUCCAUAGUUAUUAGCUAGAUGGCUUCUUCUCUCUUUUUGGAUCUUAAUACAAUGUUCUCCCCCUCUCUUGUGGAGAUAUAUUCGAUGUAAUCUCUUUUUGCGGUGUGUUUGUCGAGAUCCGAUGAAUUGUGGGUUUAUGAUCAAGUUUAUCUAUGAAUAAUAUUUGAAUCUUCUCUGAAUUCUUUUAUGUAUGAUUGAGUUAUCUUUGCAAGUCUGUUCGAAUUAUCAGUUUGGUUUGGCCUACUAGAUAGAUCUUUCUUGCCAUGGGAGAAGUGCUUAGCUUUGGGUUCAAUCUUGCAGUGUCCUUACCCAGUGACAGAAAGGGUUGCAAGGCACAUAUUGUAUUGUUGCCAUCGAGGAUAAAAAGAUGGGGUUUAUAUCAUAUUGCAUGAGUUUAUCCCUCUACAUCAUGUCAUCUUGCUUAAGGCGUUACUAUGUUCUUAUGAACUUAAUACUCUAGAUGCAGGCAGGAGUCGGUCGAUGUGUGGAGUAAUAGUAGUAGAUGCAGGCAGGAGUCGGUCUACUUGUUGCGGACGUGAUGCCUAUAUACAUGAUCAUGCCUAGAUAAUCUCAUAAUUAUUCACUUUUCUAUCAAUUGCUCGACAGUAAUUUGAUCACCCACCGUAAUACUUAUGCUAUCUUGAGAGACGCCUCUAGUGAAACCUAUGGCCCCCGGGUCUAUCUCUUAUCAUAUUUGCUUCCAAUCUACUUUUAGUUGCAUCUUACUUUUUGCAUUUAUAUUAUAAAAUACCAAAAAUAUAUUUAUCUUAUCUUAUUAUCUCUAUCAGAUCUCACUUUCGCAAGUGGCCGUGAAGGGAUUAAAAAUCCCUUUAUUGCGUUGGUUGCGAGUUCUUGGUUUGUUUGUGUAGGUGCGUGGGACUUUUGAGGAGCCUCCUACUGGAUUGAUACCUUGGUUCUCAAAAACUGAGGGAAAUACUUAUGCUACUCUGCUGCAUCACCCUUUCCUCUUCAAGGAAAACCAACGCAAGCUCAAGAUGUAGCAAUGUGCAGGUUCAGUGGGUCCUCUUGCGUUUUCACUGACAUGUGGGACCACAUGUGAGCAAACAGACGAUGGGCUCCGCGCGUCCGCUGGCUUGCUGAGAAGAGAGAUAGAGGAGGGCUGAGCACGGACUGCAGGAAAUUUGUUCUACGUAACUAGCACCUUGAUAUUCGCAUGUGGUUGUUUCUAGAAUAUAAAAAAGGAGGUACCCCUACUUAUGUUACUCCCACUAUGCCUAGCCUAAGGUUAGUAGGUGACCUUGAGCUUGGCUCUUUGCCUCUUCUGGAAGUCGAUGGUUCUACAGUGGUGCUUCUGGCAAUCUGACACCAAAUGAACCGCUGCACGCCCACCACUUGUAAGCAAAAGUUUCUCCUCGUGCCGCGAGCCACCGUGCAUGCGUUAGCGAGGGAGAAGGCUCAAGCUUCUCGUCGUUCUGCGAGUUGACGGGACACAUCAAAGUUAUUUACUAGUAGUACGUACUCUCUCCAAAAAAGGGCUGACCAUGUCAUUGCUACCAUCCCGUGCUCCGUCGUUGAGUACGUGCACUAUUCACGUGCCAUCGAGGAGAAAAAAUAUUGCGUAGGUGCCAUCGAAGUGCACGACUCACUUACGAAAAAGGGUUCCCCCCGCUUUCCCCCCAUACGACUCACUUACGCACUGCUUAUCUGAUUAUCUCCAUUUUCUUGCAUGACACGUGCACCUUGAUGCUAGAUGUCUAGCGUGUUGGGAAAAGGAUGAACAAAGCUCACGUAAAAUAAAAGAGUUGAAGAGCAUAGAUUCCCGACGACCGAGGAGGAGCAAGGAACCUCGUGGUGGAGCGUUUGCAAGGAACCUUGCGUGUUUCCCCCUGUUUUUUGCCGCCUGCCCACCUAUAAACAAAUAAAAGAACAUGAACUUUUUGCUAACCACUAGAAAUGGUACAUCAGGAUGCUAAGUUGAAGAUGUUUUAUACUCCCUCCGUUCCCAAAUAUAAGUCUUUUUAGAUAUUUCAAUAAGGGACUACAUACGAAACAAAAUGAGUGAAUCUACACUCUAAAAUAUGUCUACAUACAUCCGUAUGUUGUAAUCUAUUUGAAAUGGCUAGAAAGACUUAUAUUUAGGAACGGAGGGAGUAGUUUAUAUUGAAUUAUUGAUAACCACGCAACAAGCCACGCAUGUACAGGACGCAUGCAGCCACACAUGUACACAAGCCAACGCACUAACUCCAUCCGAUCCAACUCAUGCACAUACGCGCACAACAUGGAGCACACAACGCACAUACACAAGACGUGCAUGCACACACGCUCGGCCGCAGAAUGCACGUGAAUAACACAUGCAUGCGCACACACUCGGCUGCAUGGAGGCGUGCGCCAUCCGCGGUGACGUCCGGUUCGUCGUGCUACGGCAGAGCUCGCACGCAACGGCGCAUACGCAUCUCUUGCAGCACCUCUUUGCCAUUGUUGCUCAACUACUAGUCGGAUACGAAGACGACCGCAGCCUCGGCCUUAGAGCUAGCACCGUUGGAAAAACACGCACGCUGCACGCACACGAGCACAUACAGAGUGCCCACGACAUGGUGGUGGUGCGUCCCCAGUCGCCACUACUCCUUCUGCGCAUGUUGUCUAUCAAGGCGGCUGCAUGCUAAUGAUGAUGUGGGUGAGAUCUUCUAGGACUCAGAUGACGACGAGGAAAAUUAUGAGACACAAGGUGACGUACACCGUCAAGGUCCACGGUCAAGGGGGUGCUAGUAAGUGCUUAGAUGUGCUUAGAGCAAGUACAAUAGAGCUGAGUUAGCGGGCUAUAAGGAAUAAACUAGUAUAUUUCUGCUUAGUUGGAGGAAAGAGAAGAGGAGAGAGAAGGUAAGCGGGCUCUUCGUGAAGAGCCAGCUCUAGCACGUGCUCCUAGGCACUUUGUGAGAAUGAAAGGUGGGCCACAGAAUAAAAAAGUAGUAGUACACUCUUUUGAUCUACUAUUGUACAUGUUGACUAUAAGAUGGGCUGUAGAUGACAUGGCACUGGCUUAUAGCCAGCAGCCGGCUAUACUAUUAAUGCUCUUUAGAUGAGGUGCUAAGUGCAUGAAAUGGCUUAGUAACUCAAGUCUUCAAUGCAUAGGUGCUUAGUUUAUUGGUGGCACAUUAUAUUUUAUGCCUACGUGGCAGGCUUAGCAGCUAUACAUGGUGGAGCACUGGGAGAGGCCAAGGCUGGUCAUAGUGGGGAGUAACUUGUACUGUAACAUAUUACUAUGUUACUCUAAACAUCUCUAUAAACCGGAAAGGAGGGAGUAGUAACAUAGACUAGUGUCAUAUGCAAAGUAUGGGAGCACAUGAUAUUUCCCCGUCCGGACCGAUCCCAAGUUGGCUUCUCACCUUCUUGGCCCAACAAAAANNNNNNNNNNNNNNNNNNNNNNNNNNNNNNNNNNNNNNNNNNNNNNNNNNNNNNNNNNNNNNNNNNNNNNNNNNNNNNNNNNNNNNNNNNNNNNNNNNNNNNNNNNNNNNNNNNNNNNNNNNNNNNNNNNNNNNNNNNNNNNNNNNNNNNNNNNNNNNNNNNNNNNNNNNNNNNNNNNNNNNNNNNNNNNNNNNNNNNNNNNNNNNNNNNNNNNNNNNNNNNNNNNNNNNNNNNNNNNNNNNNNNNNNNNNNNNNCCCCCCCGCACGCGCUUCCCGCCCAGCGCCAGCUGAGCCCGCCGCUCCACAUUGAUGGCAAGUCAGGGCGACGCGACCUCUCACUGCUUCCGUCGUUGAAGCGGCGUGCCGACCGAGGGCACUGCCCGCUACACGCCCGACAUUUCAGACUACAUAGUGGAUAGUAACUUUAGAGCAAGUACUACAAUUAGAUGACAUAAGCAGGCUAUAAGUAUUUAAAUAUAGUAUUUGUUCUUAGUUGAAGGAGAGAGAAGAGGAGAGAGAAGAGAAGCGGAUUGUAAACGAGUAGUCGGUUGUACUCCAACAUACCUUGUGAGACAAAAGGUGGGGCCAUUAUUAAUGAUAUUGUAUUUAUACUAAAGGGACUAACUGACGCCUUAAUUGCUCUGUUUUUUUGAGACAAACCUUGGUGGGGCUAUUAUUGAAUUUGUUUUGAGCUAUUAUUGACUUGGACGUGGGGUUUGGGGGCCAAAGGCCUACUAUUAUACCCGCAUGACCGACCUGACAUGCUCUACCCUAGCCGCCGCUGUAUCAUAUGGUUUCGCACCAUUCCAGAUCUUAGCGCCGCCACACAAUUCUUCUCCAGCCCUCCUUCCAGCGUGCACCGCGAGAAGGGACAACAGUCCUUCGAACCCCGCCUUUCGUGAUCCUGUACGGGAGAUGGGCGAUCAGGUUUUUGGGGAGCACACUCCUGUGACUGCUGCCAGCGACGACUUCCUCAACGACAGCCUUCUUCCCCUACCUCGGUAACCUCUUCAUCAACGACAUGAGUGACAACAUCAACCACAUCGGUUCUACUCCCGUUGUACAGUAUGUGAUUCUGUCCUCCUGGUUUAGUCCGCAUCAUUACUUUGAUGUUUGCAAUUGUCGUGAUGAUCUAUUUACUGCUGAUUCGGAUUAAAUCUCAUACUAAAUUGCUCAUAUAUUCAACAAUCCAAUCCAAAAACCUGAUUACAGACAAUUUACUCCGAGUGGUUUUGCUGCGCUUUUGAAGCCGCCUACUUUUAAGGGGGUGUAAUAUAAAAGGUGGCACACAAGAGCAGUAUAUUGGUUUCAGAUCAUGUACUGCUAUGACGCCACUAAGGGUAAGCCUGAGGGCGAUUUUAAUCCUACACAUCAGGAAGCUUUUCAGAACAUGGAUACCCUCUUCAAAGGCGCCCUGCUGAGUGUUCUUGACGAUUCCAUUGUGGAUUCAUAUAUGUCGUUUGACAGUGGCAAAGACAUGUGGGCUGCACUCGAGGCCACGUUUGGGCCCUCGGGCGCUGGCAACGAGUUAUACAUCAUGGAGGAAUUCUGUGACUACAAGAUGACUGAUGAGGGCUCUGUUGUUCAACAGACUCAUGAGAUACAGUCACUCUCUAAGGAACUUGAGUACUUUAAGUGUGUGUUGCCGGGCAAAUUUGUUGCUGGGACCAUCAUUGCCAAGCUUCCACCUUCGUGGAACGAUUUUGCUACUUCUCUGAAAAAAAGAGACAUGAGUUUUCUGUUUUGGAUCUCAUUAGCACUCUUGAUUUUGAGGAGAAGGUGAGAGAAAAAGACACACGUGCUCGGGUCGCUGAGGGAGCUUCUAGUGCCCACAUGAUACACGAGAAGAACUUCCAGCCCAACCAGCCCCAAAACAACAAGAACAAAUCUCAGGGGAAAGGCAAGUUUGAUGCAAAGAACAAGCCGUCACAUUCUACCAACUUCAAGAAGAAUUCUCGUAACGGGAAGGGAUACAAACCUCAAUUUUGGUAGCACCGCACAAAAUUUAUAUGUCUGCAUCUACCUGCUGGCAGCUAACCUCAUGGUGCUCCAGGUAUUCUUACAUUCGUAACUAGGUACAAUGACCACCGCAAGAUGAAAUUAGCUUAUUCGUACGUUGACUUGCUGAAUGCAGUGCGGAACGAUCCUGUCAUGUGCAGAGGAGCAAAAAAGCAGUGCAGUCGAAGGUGGAAAUCAACCAAGGACUUAUGAAAUUAUAUGUAAUCUUCCUCAGGCAGGCCAGUAUCCCCUUCGUCCAGAUGAUCGUGUUUUGUCAUGCCGAGCUAUUGAUAUGUGCUACUGUUUUGCAACACCGUUUAAGUAUAGCUACUGUUUUCCUAUAUUUUUAGAUUCAGGACAAUGAAUAUGAUAUCAGGGGAACUGCACAAUAUGGACCCAUGUUGAGUCAUCUCUAUUGCCUCAUGUGUUUGCUGCAAAUGUGUCAGCAUCAAUUGCAAGAUGAGGCAGCUAGCUAGCUAUGGAGUUGCCAACAUGCUCAAAGUGCUCGCAACAUUGAGAAGAAACAAGCAUGCCCAGGAAAUUAAUGCGUGCGCAGGUAGGCCCUUUGCUCAGAGAAGCAUCGACCGAUUUUCUUUAUUUUCACACCUUCUCACAGCUUUGUAUAUUGGUUAUAGUAUGGUGAAUCAUUGAGAUGCAUAGACAUGCUGAACUUUUGUUCUUCUGAGUGUUAGUUUAAUGUGAGUGUCUGCAUCCAGUACCGCAUCCUCUAAUUUGGUGGAUGCACACAGAGAAAAUAAAUCUCCUUAAUUUACUCCAUAACCACCCUAUUAAAUAGGCCUAGUAACAAACCAGGCGCAUGCAAUGGCCAGCGGGCACAUGCAUCCUGCAUGCAUGGCCAGUCAGCCAAGCCCAUGCGCCAGCUCCAAUGCAGCAACGCAAAAGAAGAGAGCGGUUCUUGGAAAAAAGUGAGUAGUUAGUGCAGCGGGCCUUAUAAACGCGAACAACUUGCUCUCCCGCUUCCGUCUCCCCACCCAAUUCCCCCCGCUCCCCAAUCUUCCUCACUCGUUUAGAAAACCCCGCUCACCUUCUUCCUCACUCGUACAGAAAACACCUGCUCCUCUUCUUCCACUCCUACAGAAAUCCCCAGCCCUCCUUCCCCACUCGCACUGCCACUAGGCUCGUCUCUGGCUACUCUGCUCAAACCCGUGAGCUCGGCGCGACGCCCACAAGGAAAAUGGAGUUGGCUGGCCCCAGCGCCAAGAAGAUGAGGUUCCCGCCAGCGGCGACGCCGGUCGUAAAUCCCGCACCCGGUAGCGCGGGGAGAAGUGGCGAGCCCCCCCCCACCCGGAUCUGAGGAACUGGUGGAAUCUCCGGUGGAUCGGAUCAGUGAUCUUCCGGGCGUCAUCCUUGAGGAGAUCAUCUCGCUUCUCCCCACCAAGGAUUGCUGCCGCACACAAGUCCUCUCAACUCGGUGGUGCCCUCUAUGGCGCACCGCGCCCCUCAAUCUCGACUAUCGUCAGAUAUAUGUCCUUCCUAAAUUUGAUCUUCUCAGAGCCAUCAUCUCUUCUCACCAGUAGGGCCCUGUUCAAUGCCUCUGCAUCCCGACAAGCUACCUGCUGUCCAUACUCGGCAAGGUGGACGCUUGGCUGACAUCCCCUAAAUUUGGAAAACUACAGCAGUUUGAGUUCUACCAUUACCAUGAAAGUUUCAUACCAUGAACAUACCAAGAAUUCAUGCCCACACCACUGCUGUCCAUCUCGCGGUUUUCCUCCUCUCUCCACACCGCCACCUUCGCCCGGUGCCAUCUACCAGAUGAUUUGGUACAAAUGCUUCGACUCCCACUACUAAAAAAACUUUCGCUUGUGGUGGUUUAUCUGUCGGAGGCCUCACUGCACAACAUCAUCCACUCCAGUUGCCCUGCCCUGGAGCGCUUGCUGAUUGUUUUGGGAAUAGAAAUCGGUAUCAGUUGUCUCCAAAUAAAGUCGCCUCACCUUAAAAGCAUUAGAAUUUGUUUUAAAGGACAGCAGCUCAUCAUCGAAGAUGCCCCUUCACUUGAAAGGUUGCUCCUUCAUAAUUGUUAUACACCUUCAGAAAUAACUGUCGUCUCUGCGCCCAAACUGGAGACCUUGGGUGUAAUUCGUGACCCGUUUAAUAAUCACAAGGAGUUGGUGUUUGGCUCCUCACUUUUUUAGGUAUCGUAUAUUAUCAUCUACACAUUUGUAAUCAUAUGCUGCAUUUUUCAUUUAUGCGCAUAAGUUUUAUAUCAUCUUGGAGUACACUUUGGGUACUAAUAUUAUGUUAUAUGCUCAAUGAAGAGUUCAUCCAUUGAUAGCCUAUCAAUGCUGCUGGAUUCUGUCAAGAUCAUAUAUAUCAGAAUGUAUAGUUUUGAUCUGGACAUAAUUAUUGGCUUGCUGCGAUGCUUUUGAUCUCUAGAGAAUUUAUACAUAGAGGUGAUGAUUUCAUGCACAUUGAAAGCCCGUAUAUAUUGUACUGGAAUUAACUAUUCAGCUGUCAUUCUUUCGACAUACUCUUUUUCAGACCUUAACUAUUUUCAAUCUUCAUGUCUACUUAGGCAGAACCACAUGGAGAAAAACAUAUAACCAACUAUUGGCGUAAUAAGCACAAGGAUUUUCUCAGUUCUCAUGACAUUCGUUUGAGGACAAUAACGAUGAGAUGAUAUGCAUCCAACCAGGCAAACAGAAGCUUUGUCACAUUCUUCCUGUUGAAUGCGAGGUUACUAUUGUCCAUGAGGCUUAAUUUUUACAGCAAGAGAUUUCUCACGGACGAACAUGUUGAACAGCAAAAAAAGAAGUUUCAGGUGGACAAAUGGGCUUCUAAACGUGCUCGGCUUCUAUUUACAAUAAGUUGUAGAUAUCCUAAAAUAAUUUUUUUUGCACAGGAUGUUGAUUUUAUGGAUCAGACCGAGCCAUUUGUUUGUGACUGCAAAAAAGAGUGGUUGGGUUAGAUGUUACUGUCAUGUUCAAUCUGGGCUUUGUCUAAAAAUUUGAUGAACAGUUAAUCCUUGGGCUUUUUGUACCAUUUGUAUGCUUGAGUUGCAUGUUGUUGCCCUCGUACUCCCCUCCACCUGCCACUACACUGCCGCAUCUUCCAUGGCCGCCAUUCGUUCCCGUACGAGGCCUUGCCGUCGUUCUCCGCCUUGGUUAGCUCGUUGUGCCCGCCGCCGUCUGGCGUUGUCAACAUGGUCAACAACUAAGAGGAAUCAGGAGAUGACUGUACGUGGAGAGGCUGAUAGUAGGGACCCACCAGGGUCAUUGCAUUUCGCAAGCAGGUGCCUCAUGAUUACAAGCCAAAAAAUACUUCCUCCUAAUGUUUGAGAACUAGGUUCCACGCCAUUGUCAAUGUAGUCAAUAAACGAGAAAAUUACACAACAAGCGGAUAACACCAGGGACCCAGCAGCUCGCCCAGUUGUUUUCCAGUUUCAGAGAUGGAGCUCAACUGCGCGUUGUGCGGGGGUUGUGGCAUGUCUAGCCCACGCUUACGCUUUUAUUAAGCACAUGACGAGCCCAGUUGAUACAUUUUUUCUUUCUGAAAUUGGCUAGCCCAGUUCUUUUUUUUUGGAGAAUACCAAAACCGAGGCCUACUUGCUUUUCUCAGCCCUGCUGGGCUGCAAAUCUUUCAAGACGAGGAGGGAUGUAAGUAGUAAGAGAUGGGCUUCCCCAGAAAACGAGCUAUAAGUUGUAAGAAAUGGGCUAUAAAUUUUUAAACCAAAGCCAAUCGGCAAUUGCAUUAAAAUAUCAUUUUUUUUAGGAUUUCUCUACUCUCUACUCUUAUAAAAACCAAAGCCAACUGGCAACUACAUUAAAAUAUCAUCUUUUCUCCCACAAGAUAAACUACUCAUACAAAUGCGUCUUCAUGUUCCGUGCAACGAACGAGCAUAUUGCUAGUUAAGAUUCUAAAUUUCAUUCAUUUUUUGCGGAGAAUUGUUUUUUGAAUUUUAUUUUGAUAUAAUUUUUUGAAAAUUAUUUUUAACGUGACUCGAAAUUUCGUGAUUAAAAGAGUUCGGACCCCACCGAAAUAUGCAAAAUUUCGUUGAAUUUUUUAGCAGUGCCCAGAAUAUAUGGUCUGUAAUGCUAAUAAAAAGAAUAUGGGCUUCAAAUAUCCUUAAGAAUUAGCAAAUGGGCUGUAAAUUAUUGAAAAUAAUGGCUAAUGGGUUGUAUGCUGCUUUCCACAGAUUGGGAGGCUGACUUCUGGGCCUACUAGGUUGACGAUGACGUUGUCCUAAAUUUUUUUGACGUGUACGCAAGGCUUUGUCAACUUAGUCAACACACAUCAGUGACUGUUGGAUGUCCAUCCAACGGCUGCCGUGCUUCUUCAAUCUCUGAUGUUCCUGCUCCAGCCGCCAAAACCAGCGCCGGCGGGACUGCCUGCUCCCUCCUCCCGUGGAUGGCUGUGCUGCCGCCAGGCCAUCCCUCUAACCACCCACACAUUCUAUUAUUUUCCGGCGACGUCAGCCUCACCCCGCAGCCGACCAGCCAGCGCUCGUUCUCCCCUCAGCGUGGGCAUCCACUGCGGUGGCUUCGCCGGCUCUGGGUGGUUCUCUUCCUGGGCCUCGCCCUCAUCCACCGCAUUUGUGCUCUCGACGCGGCGAGGUCAACAUGGUCAACAAACAAUAGCCAUCAGAAGAGGCUGACAGUAGGGGCCCACACAGGAAAAUGUCUCCUUAUUACGCGCAAAAUAAUGAUUCCUCCAGCUGAUAGCUGGGACCCACCGGAAGGGUCUCUGUAUUUCGUGAAAAAAAUGUUCCCCCCGCUGUCAGCUCGGACCCACCGGAAAUGCCACCUUAUUAUGCACAAAAAAAUGAAUACUCCCCUGCUAGCUGGGAUUCACCUUGGUGGGAGGCUGACUUGUGGGCCUACUAAGUUUACGGGGACGGAGGGCUUUGUCAACUUAGUCAAUAUGAACGAUUCUAGCUCCAGUGACCGUACGAUGUCCAUCCAAUGGUCGUAGUGCUUCUUCAACCUCUGGUCUUCGUGCUCCAGCCGCCCAAAGCAGCACCGGUCGUGCCGCAUGCUCCUGCCUCCCGUGGCUGGCUGUGAUGCCGCGGAGGCCUCACCGCCCCCUACUACUCCCACCGCUGGCCAGGCCAUCCCUCUACUCACCCACAUCCCCUGUUAUUCUGCAGCGAUGGCAGCCUCACAUUGCAACCGAACAAGUGAACCCUCGUACUCCUCUUCGCAUGGGCAUCCACUGUUGCGUCUUCCCCGGCUCCGCAUCAUCCCCUUCCUAGGCCUCGCUUUCGUCCACCGCCAUGGUGCUCUCGGCGCGGCGUGGUCAAUGUGGUCAACGACCGACUCCCAUCGGAAAAGUACUGUGCGUGGAGAGGCUGACAGCUGGGUCCACGGCGGCCGCAAGGAAGUGCCUCCUUAUUACGCGCAAAAUAAUUAUUCCUCCACCUGACAAUAGGGACCCACCGGACAGGCCACCAUAUUUCGUGAAAAAAAUGUUUCCCCCCUGACAGCUGGGACCCACCAGCUACACCUUCGCACGCAAGGAAGUGCGUCCGGGCAAAAAAAAUGAAAACGAUUCGCCCCCUGACCUCUGGGACCCACCAGCUACUUUCGCAGGCAAGGAAGUGCCUGACAAUCGGGACCCACCUGGUCGAAGCAUAUGUAGCGUUGUCAUUUUGGUCGAGAACGUGUACAUACAUACUGGUCGUUGUAGAGGCGUGCACAUGUUGUAGUAGAGGCGCGCACGUAGCAUGUACACGUACGUACAAUGGCCAGGGUGCAAGAAAGAAAAUACGGCCACGUACGUACAUACGUGCAGGGUCUCGAACGCCUACUCAUGCAUACAUACGGCCAGGGCUUGUGUACAUGGCUGGGUCGGAACGGAGAAACAUCAUCAUUGUCGUGUUCAUGGGGAGGCAACGGAAUGCGUCGUGUGCAUGGGGAGGCAACAGAGUGCGUCGUGUUCAUGGGGAGGCAACGGAAUGUGUCGUGUUCAUCGGGAGGCAACAGAACGCGUGGGAGCCAACCGGCUGGGUCGGAACAAAAUGCGUGGUCGUGUUCAUCGGGAGGGCUUGGAAGGAACAUGCGAUGGAAACGAGGCCUGGCGUACCGCAUAACGGAGGAAACGGACCUCCUACGUUCGGAACGGGGUCCUGCUGAUCGGCAGGGGUGUGGCAUACCACAAAACGGAGGAAACAGACCUCAUACGGUCGAACGGGGGUCCUGUUGAUCAGGAGGGGUGUGGCGUACCGCAAAACGGAGGAAACAGACCUCCNNNNNNNNNNNNNNNNNNNNNNNNNNNNNNNNNNNNNNNNNNNNNNNNNNNNNNNNNNNNNNNNNNNNNNNNNNNNNNNNNNNNNNNNNNNNNNNNNNNNNNNNNNNNNNNNNNNNNNNNNNNNNNNNNNNNNNNNNNNNNNNNNNNNNNNNNNNNNNNNNNNNNNNNNNNNNNNNNNNNNNNNNNNNNNNNNNNNNNNNNNNNNNNNNNNNNNNNNNNNNNNNNNNNNNNNNNNNNNNNNNNNNNNNNNNNNNNNNNNNNNNNNNNNNNNNNNNNNNNNNNNNNNNNNNNNNNNNCGCAAAACAGAGGAAACGGACUUGUGUUAGAGCUACGGUCAAAACGGGGGUCCUGUUCAUCAGGAGGGGUGUGGCGUACCACAAAAUGGGACUCCACGGGAUACUGUUCAUCUCCACCGUCGACCUCCUCCAGCCUCCAUGGGCUACUGUUCAUCCACAGUCGACCUCCUCCAGCCUCCACAGGCGCCUGUUCAUCCAGCCUCCACCGCGCGCUACUCCACCGGCUACUGUUCAACCACCCCUCCACGGGCACCCCUGCACAGUCUACUGUUCAUCUAGCCCUCCACACCACGGGGUCCUGUUCAACCACCCCUCCACGGGCACCCCUCCACCGUCUACUGUUCAUCCAACCCUCCACACCACGGGGUCCUGUUCAUCCAGAGGCAACGCCACCACUCACUAUUCAUCCAAACCCCCCGCAACGCUCACUGUUCAUCCAAUCGAUCGGCUUUAGUUAGCAGCAGUAGCGAAAGAAUCGCUCGAUCGGGUUCACUUAACAGCCAUCGAUCGAUCGCUCGAGUUCAGUAACACGUAGCCUGCAGUGUAAUCGUUCGGGUUCAGUUAGAGCCCAACGCCUCGCUGGGGUUCAGUUAGAGCCAACGCUUCGCACACACGCGUGUAUGUGUAUGAUAGAAACGCGCAUCGCUCGGCCCCCGACCGCCCACCGUAAUUGGGAACUCCCCGAAAUUUUCCUCGCCCUCGCUUCUACCAUGGUUUUUUCCGUCAUGGAUGGCCCAAAGAAUGUCAUGAAGCUGCAUCUCUGGCCCGCCCAGGACGAAAAGCCCAUUUUCUGUCAUGAUUUUUUGUCAUAGAAGUAGGGGCCCACCACAUCUAUGAUGAUACCGGAUUUUGUCACAAUUAUCGUCAUAGAAGUGUCAUAUGUAUGACAGAAAAAAAA
rnacentral:lncRNA from 1 species